AAUUAGGUGCGAUUGGUCGGGCUUUGUGAUCUUUGCUUUGCGUUGCGGGUUUGCUUUCGUGAAUUCGUGUUCGGGUCAAAUUUUGGGAUUCUUGUGGUUGAUUUAGUACGGAGUUGGUGAGUCCUUUGUUGAGGUUCGAUUCGAGGUUCUUCGGCAUGGUUUCUGUCCUUUCGUUGAAGCAUUAUUGAAUUUCGAAACCUUCGAAUCGAGGUCUAAUUCUCUUCCUUCUCUUCUUUAUUUCGUUAUUUGUCGUGUUCUAUGCUUUGAAUUGAAUCCGGUGUGUUGGUUGAUCCGUGGUGAUGUGAAUUAUUGUUUGUUUUGAUUUGGUGUUUGAUUUCCUUGAUUAUGGAUUAAUUAUAAGGUGUGUGAUGAAAUAAUAUCUCAUGGAGGAUUAAAAUUGAUUAUUUGGGGAAUGGGAAUCGAAAAUUAAUAAAAGUGAAUAUUAUAGUAUUUUGAUUCAUUGUUGAUGUUGAACGUGAUAUGUCAUCGAGCGGGUAGGCAAGCACUAGGCUCGGGUAGGCAAAAUUUAGGAUUGGUGGAUUGUUUGAAAUAUGUGUUGGAAUGGUUUUGUUUUAUCGCAUUUAAUUCAAUUAUACUCAUUUGGCCGGGGAAUGCCCCGAAUGUAUCAUGUACGUAAAGAAGUUUCAUGACGAAGGCCCAAGGCAUCGGGUAAAGCACGAGAGCAGUUAGGAUUAGUGUACGUUGGAUAGGGUUUAUUCUCGCAUUUUUUUCUAUUUUGGACUGUAUAACUCGGACUGGACAUUAUAUUUUUUAUUCAUUUUGUUUUGUUUGUUGUUUGAUUGCUUUACGUGUUUUGUGUGGUUUAUACAUACGUAGUAUCAAAUUAGCCGAUAUGUUCCACCAAGCGACAGUGGUCAAACUACGGGAUCGAGGGGUGCCUAACACCUUCCCCUCGGUCAACAGAAUUCCUUAGUCGGAAUCUCUGUUUGCAGAUCAGUUUAAAAGAGUCAAAAUUGUUUUCGAAAAAAGAUUUUCAACGGUGACUUGGCAUACCAGAUUAUGCCAAGUGGUGACUCUGAGUUUAAAUAUAAAUAAUCCUUUUUGAAACAAAAUUUUUAUUUUUUGUCACUUUAAUAAAAGCCCUUUCGAAACUUAAAAUUGAAUCUUUUUGGGGUUAGAAAAAGGGGUGUGACAGCUCUGGCGACUCUGCUGGGGAACUUGUUUAGAAUUCGAGCUUAUUUUGGAGUCGUAUUGGCUUUGUUUGGCACUAUAGGUGCAUAAACAUUUUUUGUGUGUGUUGUUUUGUGUUAUUGUUUUAUCAUUAUGGAAUGUUUUUGUGCUCUUUGUGUACAGUAUUUAUCCUAUGUGUUACUACUUUUAUAUCUGGCAUUAUGUGUCUACCCCCGGCCUUCUUUCUGCAACAAGUCCGUAGUAUACGUGUUGUACACGACCUCUAGUUGAGUCACCCUUAUUUUAGGGGGGAGCCGUCGGUGUUAUGGAGUAGGUGGAAAGCUGUCGCAGCCACUAUCGACCAUAUGCUCCCCCGAACAGCCUUGUUGGUGAACCCCAACGUAGGUCAGCCUUUAGGUCAUGCUUAUGUGCAUCAUAUUGAGACCUAGAGGGGCCUACUUGGUCCUUUGUAGGAGACUCACCUCUAAAGCAUCCCUACAUGCUAAAUGUUGCAUCUUUGAGGAUAACGUGGUCAUUUGACGGACUGAUUUGGGAAAAACAUGUGUUAGAAGUAAAGUGUGUGGGUAAUGAAAAAAACAAGGAAAAAAAAAGGUUUCGUAUUUUUUAGAGUUUUUUAUGGCUUUCAUUUUUCACAAUUCCAAAAUUCAAAAGGAUUUUUUUUACCUUUCGCAUUCAUUUUCUCAAAAACAUCAAAAAGAUUUUCCUUUGUCUCGUUUAGCAUGCAUUCACAAUUCAAAAACUUCAAAAAGAUUUUUUUCAUUCAUAGGAUGUGUUUAUAAAAGAAAAAUGCAAAAAAAAAAAGAUGUUAGAAAUUUUUUACAUUUCGUAUAAUGAAAAUACCAAAAAGAUUUUUCUUUCAUAGUUGAUGUCAUUUUUCUGUGAAGUAUCAAAAUGAAAACUCAAAAGAUUUUAUUAACAUGGUUCAUCGUCUGUCUUUGGUCGUAUCUCUUAAGUCAGGGUCUAGCCUGUUAUUUAAUUGUUAAUUGUCCAAUCUGGACGAACUACGCACCCAUGAUUCUCCUCUUUCGGGAUGCGAGAUACGUAGGCAACCUAUUGUGGGUUCGGGAAUCUAAAAUAUUUUUAUUCACUCUUCAUUUAGAGUAGGUGUUUCAUAUACAUCUUCAAGAGAAAACACAAAAAGAUUUUCCUUUAAUAGGUUCAAGUUUCAUUUUUGCAUGAAAUUCAAAAUUGAAAACCCAAAAAGAGUUUCUUUGGUAAAUAUAGGUUUCACUUUGUUUAGGGAUGUUAAGCCUAAAAAAUGCAAAAAUAAUAAUAUUUUAGUCAAUUCUUUUGACAAUUUGUUAUUUUCUUUUCUUCUUAAAGUUUCAAGAAAAAAGAAAAAAAAAAAGAGGACAAAGAGUUCAAUUGGCCAUUUUGGCACGGCUUUACGAACUACGCACACCUGAUUCUCCUCUCUCGGGAGUGAGAUACGUAGGCACCCUUCUUGGGUUCGGUGAUUUUUUUUUUUUAAAAAAGAGGUUUUGGAAAAGUGUUGAACUCUAACACAUUUGUUGUUUUAUGUUGAGUCAGUUUAAGGUGGUUGGUUUGUGGCAUUCUGGCUGGUCCUUCACAUGAGGUAGUGGUAAGGUCUGCCUACGCUCUACUCUCUCCAAGUUCAAAUCAGAGGCACUAUAUUUUUAUCCUUUGACAUUCUAAGUGAAAAUUCUAGAUCUGCCACUGUCGUCAGCCCAUUUUUAUAAAGUUUAUAAACUUUGAUGUUUUCUUUCUUUCCUUCUUUGUAUAGAACUUAUACCUACACAACACAACACAAUUUUCCGACGAAGGGUGUGCUGACUACCCUUUGAUAUAGGUGGUUCCGUCCAUGCUACAACUAAUCGAGUUACAAAACUGUAGUACAAAACUCGUGGCUUCUGCUGGACGAAUUCAAGAAGCGCAAGAAUACCUAGGAAACAAAGAUAUGGAGGUUCGUUGUUACAAUGAUCCAUGUGAACACAAUCAGUGGCGUACACAGAACUUCCUGUUGUGAACCCGGCUAUCAAAGAUAAUACUUACGAGCCAGAUAAUUGGACAGAGGUUGGCAAAGCUAUUGGGUCAGGGUCUAAACCGCGAAGAAGCCGAAGAAUUAGUGUAACGCCCCACAAUUCGGGCUACAAUAUCGACCAUGAUUUCGUUGCGUUGUUAAUCCCGAAGCCAUAAAAUCCUACGCCAAUAUGGCAUGUUAAUUAUCAUGUGGCAUGUGCAAUCCACUCAAGCUUGAAUUUAGACCAUAGAGGUCCUACAACUCAGGACGAGUCGAAACUAUUUUGAUCGACUAAGUUUUAGUGGACGUUGUAAAGUGUGUUAGCUUCCUUCGACCAUAACUCUCUGUAUAUGUCGAAUUAGGGAACCUACUAUUUGUCAAAUGAUAGGUAUUCGAGUUAUAUUUCCAACGAUACCAAUUUGGCUAAAAUUCGACACCCGAGCAAGAAGUUAUGACCUUUCAAAGUGAUAAGCGACGCCUAACCAAUCGCCCAUGGCCACUGGAAAGCAUAGGCAAUAGCCUAGGCGGAGCCUAUGUGAACAUAGACGAUAGCCUAGGCGGCGCCUAUGUAAACAUAGGUGAUAGCCUAGGCGGCGCCUAUGUGAACAUAGGCAAUGGGAUGGGCGGCGCCUAUGUAAGGAAUUCUAGUGAUUUAAACACUCCGUAUUGAGGACAAAGUGAUCCUUUUCCAUCCUUACUUAGCCCUAAAACACAAGAUUUAGUUCCAAGGACCCCAAAAUACAUAUUCUUUCAGCAAUAGUGCUCAAGAUUCUCCUUAGGGUUUCAAAAAUAAAAACCCAAAUAGUUCAAGAUUUGACCGUAGGUUUUCAAAGAUAAUUACAUAUUCGGAAUCACCAAUCCGCAAGCUUCAAGAAACAUUUAUUAUCCUUGGAAAUAGAGGUACGUGGGGUUAUCCNNNNNNNNNNNNNNNNNNNNNNNNNNNNNNNNNNNNNNNNNNNNNNNNNNNNNNNNNNNNNNNNNNNNNNNNNNNNNNNNNNNNNNNNNNNNNNNNNNNNNNNNNNNNNNNNNNNNNNNNNNNNNNNNNNNNNNNNNNNNNNNNNNNNNNNNNNNNNNNNNNNNNNNNNNNNNNNNNNNNNNNNNNNNNNNNNNNNNNNNNNNNNNNNNNNNNNNNNNNNNNNNNNNNNNNNNNNNNNNNNNNNNNNNNNNNNNNNNNNNNNNNNNNNNNNNNNNNNNNNNNNNNNNNNNNNNNNNNNNNNNNNNNNNNNNNNNNNNNNNNNNNNNNNNNNNNNNNNNNNNNNNNNNNNNNNNNNNNNNNNNNNNNNNNNNNNNNNNNNNNNNNNNNNNNNNNNNNNNNNNNNNNNNNNNNNNNNNNNNNNNNNNNNNNNNNNNNUGUACUUGACUUCAUGUCAUUCCCAAAUUGGGACUAUAGGUAGGAGCCCGAGCCAAGUGAUCUUGGGCACUAUCAUUGGGUCGAGACACCAUGUUGUGUGAUCUUGUGUGUCUCUCCCUCACUUAUACUCUAAUCUCGGCGGCAACCGAAGUUUGACAAUUGGUGUAAAUUAUGCAAGGUAUUCCACCUAGCUCAGUUGCAUUUCAUUACUGUUGAGAAAAAACUAUUGCAUUACACCCAUGUGCUUUAAAAUAAUUUGAUACGAAAUUGCUUUAUAAUGGCUCUCAACUAUACUUUGUAAAAAUAUUAUGUUUUGUUUUGAUAUCUCUGCGUGCCAGUACUUUUGUGUUGAACCCCUCCCCUCUCCAACCUCUCAGAUUCAGAGGCCCAGUCUAGGGGUCAAGAGAAUCAGUAAAACUUUCAGACAGAGUUGCAAAGACAAGUGGCGAGCCUUCUAUGUUUCGGAAGGUCUUACGUCCUGCAGUCCUUUUUAUCUUAUAUUAGUUUUGGGUCUGCUGGGCCUUGUACCAGUUUUCAGAUAGUUACUUAUUUCAGUCAUGUAGUAGAGAUUUCGCAGACGAUUUUUGAGAUGUUGAUUGAGAUUGUGGGACAUUAUUCCCCAUUAUUAUUUUCAUAUGAUUCUUGACCAUGUUUCCGUUAUAUUGUGUUUCUUCCGCAUUACUUUGAUCAUAUGAAUUAGGUGCAUGAUUACCCGACAGAUAGGGGUGUUUCGGGCCUCAAUGGUUUGAAAUGCUCGUCACGGCCAGACCCUAGUUCAGGUCGUGACAAACUUGGUAUCAAAGCAUGGUUCAUGGUCCCAGGGUGUCUGCAAAAUCGCGUCGGGUAGAGUCUUGUUUAUGGGUGUGUAGCGCGCCACAUUUAUAAGCAGGAGGCUGCUAGGCGUUUUGGAAAUAUUUCCCUUCUUUGUGAUUUAGUUCGUGCUUCAGAGUCUGAACUGUCCCCUAAUCAAUGAUCACUUGUCGUAUCGUCGAUCAGAAUGCUCAGGCAGAUGAGGUCCGUCCCACCCAUGAGAUGCGGACCCGUAAUAGGGCUCACACUCUAGAAUUUGUCCCUACUCCGGGAGUCCCUCUAGUCCCGACCAGUCCACCUCGGGCUCCGCAGACUAAUGUCAACCGUCCCCCAGCUGCUCAGGAAGAUAUUUCAAAUGCGAAAUUCAGACGGUCUAUUCAUAUGCUGACACAGUUGGUAGCUAACCAAGAUCAACGANNNNNNNNNNNNNNNNNNNNNNNNNNNNNNNNNNNNNNNNNNNNNNNNNNNNNNNNNNNNNNNNAAGAUGAACCCACCUAAGUUCACUGGCACCAAAGUGGAGGAAGAUCCACAGGAGUUCGUGGAUGAGAUGGAAAAGAUCUUUAAGGUGAUGCAUGUGGAUGAGGUUGAAGGGGUGGAGUUAGCAACCUAUCAGCUCAAGGACGUUGCUAGUCGGUGGUAUGCCGACUGGGAAGAUGAAAAAGGUUAAAGUGCUGAGCCCACAAUUUGGGGCGAAUUUGUGUAAGCCUUCCUUGAUCGAUUCUUUCCUCUGGAGUUGAGAGAGGCCAAAGCAGAAGAGUUUAUGAAUCUGAAGUAGGGCAGUAUGAGUGUCCAGGAGUACACUUUGAAGUUUAAUAAACUAGCCCGCUAUGCACCAGAGUUGACUAGUAAUAUGAGAGCCUAAAUGAGGAAAUUUGCAUCGGGCCUUGCUGAUGACCUGGUACUUGAGUGCCAGGGGGCUAUGUUGAAUAAGGAGUUAGACUUUGCUCGACUGACCGUUCAUAUACAUCAAGUGGAAGGGAAGAAGAAAAAGUUUGUAAAAUCUAGAGAGAAAGACAGACAGGCUAAGAGAGCUAGAUCUGCGGACCAGCACCAGAGUCAGCUGCAGAGUAGUAACUGGGGUAAUAAUUGGUCGAAGAAGAAGAAGUUUUGGAAUAAUGCACAGUCAGCAGCCAGCGCCCCAGCAACCAAACCACCGACAGACAGACAAACUCAGAGUUUUCAGACUCCUUAUGGAUCCAAAGAUCUAGGUACACAUUCUCAAGGCAGUAUGGCCCAGCAGCGUCGUACUUGUCCGCGGUGUGAGGUUUGAGGAAGGAAUCAUCUAGGGAAGUGCUGGUUUGAGGGGAGAAACUGUUAUACUUGUGGUAAAGUGGGUCACCUUCAAAGAGAUUGUCCAUCUGCUGGAAUAAAUGCGGGGGGAGGGGGGGGCUAAGUCCUAAGCCGCCUCCACAGCUCUUUUUCCUAAGGGUGCCCCUUCAGCUGAAUGAGGGUCUAGUGAAAAAUACUCUCGAUCUCACAAUAGGCGAGGGUAGAUCUACACACACCCUGACGUUUUCAGGCCCCACUUAUGAGAUCAUGGUACUAUUGUUGUUGUUUUAUGUAGUGUUUGAACGAGGGUCUAGCAGAAAACAUUCUUUUUAUCUCUCACAAAGCGAGGGUAGAUUUACGUACACCCUGCCGUUUUCAGACUCACUCAUGAGAUCACGGUACUGUUGUUGGUGUUGGUGUUUUAUGCGGUGCUUAAAUGAGGGUCUAACGGAAAAUAGUCUCUUGUGCUUCCUAAUUCCAUGAAGUCCUUGGAGCAUGUGCAAUAACAAGCUAGUGUGAACGGCUGAAAAACAAUUGUUGCACAAGCAGGCUUGAAAAUCUCUCUUUCGCCUCUCCUCCCUUUCUCAAUUCUGAUUGAUUAGCUUCUUCGUUCACGCAAGCUACGGUCUAACGAUCCCCUUGUUGUGUUGCUAGUGGAAAAUAGUCUCCCGUGCUUCCUUAGUCCGUGAAGUCCGUGUAGCAUGUGCGAUAACAAGCUAGCGCGCAACGGUUGAAAAGCCGUUGUUGCUUGCUGCUUGCAGGAUCAAAAAUCGUCAAAAACACACCUAAAGUAUCUUGAUUUUUCGAUUUUUUUACCUAAAUUAUCAGGUGCGUAAAUUUCCUACAUGAACUAUCACCACCUUCCUUUUAAGUUAAUAUGGACUAGAGGGAGUAUUAAUUAGCGAAAAAAUAAUAACUUUUAUCGAUUCAACUGAACUCAGUAUUUUUACACAACAUGAAUGCAUAUGUGAAAAGUCACACUUCAAGUUGUAAUAAAUAUCAAGUUAUGAAACUUAAAAUGUGAAAAGCACAAUGAAUUCAAUACUGAAAACUUUUGAAAUUGAACUCAUCGAGUUUAGAUUCUCAAUCUGCCUUUAUACCUGCCUCCGAGUCUAGCCGAGCCCAUCGCAUAUGAAGUCUACUCAUCGAACAUACUCAUAAAUCCACCAAGAAAUCCAGCACCAUUGCACUCACCACAUAACAUGCUUUUUUUACCUCUGCAUUUAAAAAAAUAAAUAAAUAAAAAAUCGAACAUGAGACCAACAACGAGAACAUACCCUGUGUAAUUGCACAAGUGGGGUUCGGGAAUACAAUGUAUGCAGAUCUUACCUAAAAACAACAACAACAUACCCGUGUAAUCCCACAAGUGAGGUCCGGGGAUAGAGUGUAUGCAGAUCUUACCUAACAACAACAUACCCCUAACGACAGCAACGACAUACCUCGUGUAAUCCCACAAUUGGGGGUUAUAGAAUAUAUGCAGAUCUUACCUAACAACAACAACGUACCCCGUGUAAUCCCACAAGUGGGGUUCGGGGAUAGAGUGUAUGCAGAUCUUACCUAACAACAACAACAAUAUUGUCACGACCCGAACCGGGGCCCUAGCCGUGACGAGUAUCCCGAACCAUGAAGUCUCGAAACACCCCUGUCUGUCUGGUAAUCAUGCACAUAAUUCAUAUGAUCAAAGUAAUGCGGAAGAAACACAAUAAUACGAAAACAUAGUCAUAAAUAUGAAAAAGAACAAUAAUGGAGAAAUAAAGUUCCCACAACAUGAAUCAACCUCUAAACAACCGUCUGCGAAAAUCUCUAACAAAUGACUGAGUCAAGUAACUGUAUAUAAAUUGGGACAAGGCCCCCAGUAGACCCCAAAACUUAAAAUAAGAUAAAGGACUGCAGGACAUAAGGCCUUCCGAAAUAUAGAAAGCUCACCACUUGUCUCUUCAACUCUAUCUGAAAGAUCUACUGAUUCUCUUGACCCCUAAACUGAGCCUCCGAACCUGAGAGUUGGGAGGGGAGGGGGUCAGCACAAAAGUACUGGCACGCAGAGAUAUCAAAACAAAACAUAAUAUUUUUACAAAAUAUAGUUGAGAGUCAUUAUAAAGCAGUUUCAUAUCAAGUCAUUUGAAAACACAUGGGCAAAAUGUAAUAGUUUUCAACAGCAAUGUAAUCCAGCUGAGCGAGGUGGAAUACCCUACAUAUAACAUUUACACCAAUAGUCAAACCUCGGUUGCCGCCGAGAUUAGAGUAUAAGUGAGGGAGAGACACACAAGGCCACGAAGCAUGGUGUCUCAACCCAAUGGUAGUGCCCAAGAUCACUUAGCCCGGGCUCCUACCUAUAGUCCNNNNNNNNNNNNNNNNNNNNNNNNNNNNNNNNNNNNNNNNNNNNNNNNNNNNNNNNNNNNNNNNNNNNNNNNNNNNNNNNNNNNNNNNNNNNNNNNNNNNNNNNNNNNNNNNNNNNNNNNNNNNNNNNNNNNNNNNNNNNNNNNNNNNNNNNNNNNNNNNNNNNNNNNNNNNNNNNNNNNNNNNNNNNNNNNNNNNNNNNNNNNNNNNNNNNNNNNNNNNNNNNNNNNNNNNNNNNNNNNNNNNNNNNNNNNNNNNNNNNNNNNNNNNNNNNNNNNNNNNNNNNNNNNNNNNNNNNNNNNNNNNNNNNNNNNNNNNNNNNNNNNNNNNNNNNNNNNNNNNNNNNNNNNNNNNNNNNNNNNNNNNNNNNNNNNNNNNNNNNNNNNNNNNNNNNNNNNNNNNNNNNNNNNNNNNNNNNNNNNNNNNNNNNNNNNNNNNNNNNNNNNNNNNNNNNNNNNNNNNNNNNNNNNNNNNNNNNNNNNNNNNNNNNNNNNNNNNNNNNNNNNNNNNNNNNNNNNNNNNNNNNNNNNNNNNNNNNNNNNNNNNNNNUACCUCUAUUUCCGAAGAUACUAGAUGUUUCUUGAAGCUCGCGGAUUGGUGAUUCUGAAUAUGUAAUUAUCUUCGAAAACCUAUGGUCGAAUCUUGAACUAUUUGGGUUUUUAUUUUGAAAUCCUAAGGAGAGUUCUUGAGCAAUUUUGGGGAAAGUAUGUGUAUUAUGGUAUUUGAGGGAUUAAAUCCCGUGUUGGUGGUAUAUAUAGGGGUGGAGGAUGACCAAAAUACCCCUAAGGAACAAUUAAGGUCAAAUCUGUCCCUCAGUUGACAGUUUGAUAGGCUGGAGUAAAUCAAUUAUAACUUUUUACUCAUAUACUCAAAUUGGAUGAAACCAACUGCAUUUGAAAGAGGACUCAUAGAGAUUUCGUUUGAUAUAUUAUAGCUCACACAGUUCAUUAUAUACAGGGAGUUAUGAUCGUUUGAAGUUGACCCUGAAAUGCUGAAAACUGGGCAACAGGCUAUGCGUUUUGCUACUGUUUUGAAAUCCAAACGCAGCCUAAUGCGUUCCGAAACUUAUCCAAGAUGUACUAUGAGCUUGCCCGAUCGUAACGCAACUUGAAAAUCUAAAAACGGAUAUUGGGAAGGUUGAAAAGUUGUAUCCCGAAAAUUGUAAAAUGACUUUAAGUCCUCAUUACACUUAGAAAAAUUUUCAAGUUUUUAAGUCUAAGGGCACUCUAUUAAGGGCUAAUCCAUGCACGACUUUUACGGGGUGUUACAAACAUACCCCGUGUAAUCCAACAAGUGAGGUACGAGAUAGAGUGCAUGCAGAUCUUACCUAAUAACAACAACAUACCCCGUGUAAACCCACAAGUGGGAUCCGAGGAUAGAGUGUACGCAGAUCUUACCUAACAACAACAACAUACCCUGUGUAAUCAGUCCCACAAGUGGGGUUCGGGGAUAGAGUAUGCAUAUCUUACCUAACAACGACAACAACAUACUCCGUGUAACCAUAGACCCUCAGCUCAAGCGGGGUAUGGGGUAGAGUGUACGCAGACCUUACCCCUACCUUGGAAGGUAGAGAGGCUGUUCCUCAUAGACCCUCAGCUCAAGGAAAAGCAUAUCGAGAAAGAAAUAAGGGAAGUGAAGAAAUCAUAACAAAAUCCUAAAAGUGAAUGAAACCAAAGGACAAUAGCGCGCUAAUCGAAGUACAAGAGACAGUAGAUAGUAAUAGAAAUCAAAGGACAAGAAACUACGGGAGAAAUACACGACUAAGAGUAUGAAACCAUAAUCACCAAAGAGUACAAGUGAUAGUACAAGUACCUGCACAGACAACAUAGUCCACCGGCUUUAAACCGUCCGUUGAAAUGAUCGACGGAGUUAACCCCAGUUCCUUUACAUUGUGCGCACGCCACUGCACCUGAGAGCGAUACAGCGUAUAAGAAACAGAAAGUUCUGAACAAAAUCAAGUUGAAAUUUUACUAUUUCAGGUCUCGUCGAUUGUAUGUACUGACGUUUGAUGAUUCGAAAAUUUGAUACUGUAAUAGCAAAUUUAAGUAUGUAACAUGAUAAAGAACCAGUAAGACUGCAGCAUUAGCAAAUCCCUUGGAGCUAGACACUUUUCACUCAGACGCAUCGUAAUUCUCACAUAACUUUGACGAAUAUUUGAGAGACGUUCGUAAGAAAGGUGAUCUCUGAUCGAGCAGUCAACAUCAAGAGUCAAAUUACUUCUUGAUGCAUAUAUCAUUUCAAGAAAAAAAUCCAAACAGAUCGUAAAAUAUACAGAAAUGCACAGUUACAAUAUUAAGAAAUAUUAGUCACUUUGAAUACGGAGCAAUAGGAGAGUCUCAUUAAUGACAAGUCAGAAUUCAAAAUUCACCAAAUAUGCAUCAAUCACUUACCAUUUCCAUGAGGAUUGAACCACAUAAGGGAUUAUUGUACAUAGUGUUAUCCUGCCUUUUCUUCUGGAGGUUGUUUUCCACGGAUUGAACCCGUCAUUUCCUUUUUUUGGGGGGGGAUAUUUUGAGUUGUGUCUCUGCGGCGGUGUAGCCACGUGGCAAGUUUAUAAAAAAAUAAAAAGGGCAUCCUAAAGCUACCGCUAGGCGCGGUAUCUGGGAAAGAACCUCAACACAAGGGAGUAUUGUGAGCAGUCUUACCUUGCAUUUCUGCCAGAGGCUGUUUCCAAGGCAAGUUUAUGUACUGAUACAAAUAUAAAAUUUAGUUCUGACCCUGCCUCUAUUGACUACAGGUAAUGUUAGAAAUCGGGUAGAAAUAAAGAAAAUUAUAAGCAGAAAGAAAAUAAGAACACACAGAUUUACGGGAAAAUCAUUGCGGAAAAAACCACAAGCAGAGGCAGAGGAGGUUUCACUAUAAAAGGAGAGAAGUACAAUGUGGAGCGACGUAAUUUCUGAAUAACCAAAAUUGACCCACUAAUUGUACUUAUAUAAUAUUUGCAUAUAAAUAAGUUCUAAAUCCAAAAACAUAAAGGUCGGUCCGAUCCCGAAGCCCACCACUGACCCCAUUAAAAAUCACAGACAUGGAUCGCACCGCAAAACUUUCUGGGCCGAAUUAACAAAAUUUAGAUCACAACUCUAACAAUUUUCAAGCCAACAUUGUAACGACAAUAGCAUAAUGAGCCAAACUUCUAGCAAGGGGCAAAGUUCAACCUUCCUAUUUUGUUAUUAAUUACUUACAUAAUACUCUUCUGUUGAAAAGGUCGAUCUAUUUUGAUUUAUCAUGGAAUUUAAUAAAAUAAAAAAGACUUUUAAAUCUUGUGAUUUUAAAUUAAAAUUAUGUCAAAUGUACUUGUAGUGUUAAAUAUACCAUGUGGAAAGUUGGAAUAGUGUUACUAAAAAACUGAUCAUUCUUUUUCAAAUAGACUAAAUAUAAAACCAAAGUACUUUUUUUUUAAACGGAGGGAAUACUUUUUAAGAUGUUAUAUGUCCCACCGAAACAAAAAAUAAAAUAUUUUUUGUUUUGCAAAUAAAAGAAAGCCUCGAGUCAUGGCAUUACUCCAGACAAAAAGUUUGCCUUUUUUAAGAAAAAAACUACUCCACUAAUUGGCUCCUAAGUUGGAGAUUUAUUAUUUCUUUAUUGAUUAGUCCACAAUGUACUAGUUGCAGACAGCUAAUAUAAAUAAAAAAAAUUGUGAUUGAUACAACAAAUUGGCCAAGGUCUCUUUUUAAUAUAUCAAUGACGUAUAUUUCUACCUAAUUUCAUAAUUGAGAUUUGGGGAGUUAUUAUGUGGUUAAUUUUUGUUUUACAUAUAUGUUAUGUGGUGUUUUACGUGAUUAAUUCUUGUUCUACAUAGCGUUUUAUGUGUAUUAAGUCAUAUAUGAUGUGUGUGUCUACUUAUUCAACUUUAUACAAGUUUAAGUGUCGACUUGUAUGUACUCAAAAUUGGAGGUCAUACAUAUGAUUUGUUGUCAAGUUAAAAGGGCAAUGUUUAUGUAUUACGCCAAUCAAAUUAGUUCAUUACUAAAAGUUCAUUUCGGAAUAUAGCUAGAAGAAUUGAAGUUCAAGGAUUUCAUCAUAGUUUUUAUUGUUUAAACUUUAAAUUUUAUCGUUACAAUACUAUAUUUUAACAUUAUUUUUUGGCUUUCAAGGAAAUAUAAUUUCUCUAUAUUUUAAAUAAGACUGCGACUAUUUCUUGAUUUCUUUGAACUGUUUAUCUUUAGCAAAAAGUCUAUCGCAAACAUCAUUUCUACCUAUGAGAUAGCGGUAAGAUUUGCUUACGCUCUACAUUUUUUUUUUCAAAGUACACCUUUUUUAACAGAGACAAAGGACCAUUUAUGUUCAACAUUAUAUUACAGGGACCUAAGUGAACCUACUAUGUAAAGUUAAGGGCCGUUUUGGGCUGAUAAAUUCUGCAGAUAUCAUUUCUCAGCCACUCAAAUUUUAUUUGGUUAGGUACUCUAUCUUUUGUUCUUUAUACAUUUGUUUAUUGAUGCUCAUAAUAUUGUCAUUUCUUCUAUCCUUUUCUCAAAUAUCUCUUGCAGUGAUUUUGAAGCUGUCUAAUCUGCCAUUGAAAGGUUAGUUUCACUUAAUUACUCUCUCAUUUUAUUAAAGUUUCAGAGCAAAAACAACACUUGUAGUGGCUUAUCAAUGUAUAAUUUAGCUUUUUGCAAACAUAACGUUGAUUACGUGUUGUAUCCUUCAAAAAUUGAGCAUUUUUCUUAAGGAUCUGACACAGAUACGACAUCUUUUUAAAAGAGUCUUUAUAUUUUUUAGCUUUGAAAUUAGAGAAAUAACAGACAAGAGAAAGAGUUGGAGAGAGAAAAAGAUACUUCAAUUGUAUUGUAAAGGAAAUUAUUUUAUUAAUAACUCAAAACAUAUAUUUUUAUCUAAAUUUCUAACUAUACUUUAAUUUAAAUUGGGAUAACUAAUUCUUAUUCAACACCCAGCAACAUAGAAAACACUACCUAGGUAAGCAAAGUGGAGUUUUGAACCACAAUCUUGUUUGUGUACUGGGAGUUAAAUGAGCUAAAGCUACUGAGUUUGGGACUGAACUCACUGUUACCCUGUGAUAGCUAUGAUUAAGGCAAAUACAUUACCUGAUCUGAUUUAGUUUAUGCGUGCCUUUGUUGUUAAUCAACAAAUGAUACAGAAUCCAUGGCAGAAACAGAGAAUUCUUUAAUCAAGAAGAAGAAGAAGAACACUCAGAUUAAGAGGAAGUAGAAGCUAUAGUUUAGUAAGUCUUGAAAGAGUGUUUUAUACUAGUACAUGAAGGUAGUUUAUAUAGCAGUUAUAACUAACUUUUGUACUAGUUAGUUAACUAGCUGACUGGACUAAUUAACUAACAACAACUGACUCUUUAUAUGACAUCCACAGUCUUUUCUGCAAAUCUGUGUAUCUCGUUAUUUGUAAUACCAUUGACCUCUUGCAACCUGCAGCUUUCAGGUCAUAACCGCAAAGGAAAGAAACGAUAAUACAGUAGAUAUGGCUCAUGCAAAUGUGGCUUCUCUUAUGAGAACAAUAGAAUCACUCUUGACAUCCAAUUCACCAAUGCAAUCUCUAACCUGUGAUCACAGAGAUGAAAUUCGCUCUCUUCAUGAAAAAGUUAGUUCCCUGGAAGUAUUUGUCAAGAACUUUGAGAAAAACAAUGUUGCUGGGGAACUGACGGAUUUUGAAGUAGAGGUAAAAGAAGUUGCACGUGCUGCUGAAUACACAAUUCAACUGAGACUAACAGGAACUGUACUGAGAGAAAAUAAAAGCAUCAUAGGAAUCAUUGGCUCAAUAUUUUUCAAAGGAAUCUCGAAUAUAUGGACACGCCGAAAGUUUCAGAAAAGCCUUCAACAAUUAGCAAAGGACAUUGAUCAUGUCUGGAAAGAGUCAACAAAGAUUCAAGAUAAAGGCAAACAAGUAUCAGAGGAAUCAUUGGUUCAUGAUUUUUCAAGUUCAACAAACGAUAUUCUGAAUGUUAAGAGCAAUAUGGUUGGACGUGAUGAUCAAAAGGAACGCUUGUUAGAAGAUCUGACGGUAAGCUACUCCGGUGAACCCAAAGUCAUCCCGAUUGUCGGGAUGGGAGGCAUAGGUAAAACAACCUUAGCGAAAGAAGUUUACAAUCAUGAAUCAAUUCUACAACGUUUUGAUGUUCGUGCCUGGGCUACUAUAUCUCAACAGCACAACAUAAAGGAAAUUUUGCUGAGCCUUCUGCAAUCGACGAUCAAAAUGGAUGGCACGGUUAAGACGAAACUUGAACCAGAGCUAGCAGACAUGUUGCAAAAAAGUUUAAAGAGAAAGAGGUACUUAAUUGUCUUGGAUGAUAUCUGGGGUUGUGAAGUGUGGGAUGGCGUGAGACAGUGCUUUCCAACUGAAGACAAUGCAGGGAGUCGAAUACUGUUGACAACCCGUAACGAUGAAGUAGCUUGUUAUGCUGAUACAGAGAAUCUUUCUUUGCGGAUGAGCUUUAUGGAUCAAGAUAAGAGUUGGAGUCUUUUCAAAAGUGCAGCAUUUACAAAUGAAGCAUUACCAUCUGAGUUCGAGACUGUUGGGAAGCAAAUCGCAGAGAAAUGCCACGGGUUACCACUUACUAUUGUCGUGGUAGCUGGACUUCUCAAAUCUAAAAGGGCAAUAGCAGACUGGGAAAAUGUUGCUAAAGAUGUCAAGUCAUUCGUCACAAAUGAUCCUGACGAACAAUGUUCACGUGUGCUUGGGUUGAGUUACAAUCACUUGACAAGCGAUCUAAAAACAUGUCUUCUGCAUUUCGGAAUUUUUCCAGAAGACAUUGAUAUUCCAGUGAAGAGAUUGGUGAGAUCAUGGAUGGCUGAGGGGUUCCUGAAGUUGGAAAAUGAUUUGGAAGGAGAGGCUGAGAAGUGUUUGCAAGAGCUUGUCGAUAGAUGUCUCGUCCUCGUCUGCAAGAAAAGUCUAGAUGGAACAAAAAUUAGAUCAUGUAAGGUUCAUGAUCUAAUACAUGACAUGUGUGUGAGAGAAAUUCAAAGGGGAAACGUUCGUUCAAAAUUCCAAUCUAUUUGUAUUUCAACUGUUAUUCCUUAUAAAUUACGCAAAGUCUUGGACUUGAGUGAUGUGACGAUUGAUGUUUUCCCUGUAGAGAUACUAAGCCUCAUCUGGUUGAGGUACAUAUCAUUGUUCAUCGAUAGGAAGUUAUACAUACCUCCAGCAAUUUGUAGGUUGUGGAAUCUGCAGACAUUCAUUGUUCAAGGGACUAGUGGAACUUUUCCGAAGGAAAUUUGGGGACUAAUGCAAUUAAGGCAUCUCAAACUGCCCCAAUUUUAUCUGCCAAAUCCCCCAAGUGUAUCGGCUGGCAAAGGGAGUCACAUGGGUUUUUCAAACAUACAAACUAUUUCUUACUUGUCUCCACUUUGUUGCACGAAGGAGGUUAUUAUGGGGAUUCAGAAUGUCAAAGAAUUAGGGAUCUGUGGAUGUGAGACUGACUCUAAGAGUAUUCGAGAUUCUGGGCUUCUCAACCAUCUUGUCAAUCUGCAGCAACUUGAAACAUUGAGUUUUAUACAUUGCUUUGAUCUUUUUCCAGCAAGUGCAAAAGCUUUUCCAGCAACGCUCAAGAAGCUGAAGUUGGAAAGAACUUUCGUACAUUGGACGUACAUGGACAUCAUAGCUGAAUUGCCUAACCUUGAGGUGCUGAAGCUGAUGGAUUAUGCUUGUCGUGGAGAAGAAUGGCAUCCAAAUUUUACGGGAUUUACUGUAUUGAAGGUUUUGUUAAUUGAAAAAAAUUAUCUUAAGUACUGGAAAGCCACAAAUGACAAUUUUCCUGUUCUUGAGCGUCUCGUGAUUAAUUGUUGCUAUAAAUUGGAAGAGAUACCCAUUGAGUUUGCAGAUAUCCACUCACUACAACUGAUUGUGUUAGAUCGGUGUCCUCCCGCACUUGGGGAAUCUGCAGCACGAAUUCAACAAGAGCAAGAAGAGCUCGGAAACGACCCCGUGGAUGUUCGUAUCUCUCGUCCAUGUUAGUAUAUAUUUAUCAAGGUUACACUCAGUUUCUCAUUUCACAAGUCAAGUCAUGCACAAAAGUUAUUUAGCUUUGCCCCAUAUUCUUUCACAAAAAUAACUUUGACAAAAUUUAGUUAAAACUCUACUUAAAAUGUAAGUGAAAUUAACAAGAAUAUCUCUUAUAUUUGAGGGUAAUUCAAAAUGGCCCCUUAAAUAUAUUUUUGAGCAAUUUUCGUAUUUUAGUUUAAGCUUUGCUAAACGUGAGCACAUUUGGUCUGAUUGUUACUCCAUCAAUCAAUUGUUGUCCACUAUUGACUUGACACACAAGUUAAGAAAUAGUAAAUGAUAGCUAGGAUGGAUCAGUGGUUUGCUUAUAUGGACUUGGGUAAUCCUCACCUCUUGAGCUAGCUUUUGAGGUUGAGUUACGCUUAAGGUCCAUUCUUGACACUUUACCAUAUUAGCUUUUGAAUCUAAUACAUUUGGCCAUGAAAACUAAACUUUUUUGGAGUUGUAGUUGAUUUUAUAUUUCUAAUUUAUUAUGUUUCUUUGUUGUAGUGAUACCCGAGUAAGAAGGCUUGAGCUCAUCCCAAGUAUGGUGGGAUUCUUUGAGCAGCUUUUGGGAAAAAGAAAACAAGAGCAUGCAAUCGGUUUCUAUUCAAUAUAAUAUGGGGAGUUUGAUUCGAUAAUUUAUGUUGUGGGAACUGGAUGAUGAUUUCUCCUUCAUGGAGCAAUUUUUGACUUCUUCAACUAAGUGAUAUUCGAGAGAAGUAAUAGAGUAGCUCGUGUUCUUGAAUUGAUUUCUGUGAUCUAUUUAUUCAAAAGAACAAUUUAACCAAAAGACAUAAGUUCCCUCAACAUAUGAUUGACGUUCCAAGGACAGACAUUUCGUUUUGGGUGGCACGAGUAUGUAUAGUUCACUGUCCUGAGAAAAUUUGGGGACUAAUGCAAUUAAGGCAUCUCUAACUGGACGAAUUUGAUUUGCCAAAUCGCUCAAGCGCAUCUGUUGACAAAGGGAGACCACAUGAGUUUUUCAAAUGUACAAACUGUUUUCUUAAUUGUCUCCACGUUGUUGCACGAAAGAGGUUAUUUCUGGGAUUCAGCAACAACAACAACAAACCCAGUAUAUUCUCACAUAGUGAGGUUUGGGGAGGGUAAGAUGUACGCAGUCCAUACCCCUACCUCUAAAGAAGUACCUCUAAAGAAGUAGAAAUGUUGUUUCAAUUUUUGGGAUUCAGAACACUAAAAAAUUAGAACCACUAUCUAAAUUCAACAACAAAAAGACCUCGAAAACAACCUUGUGGAUGUUUGUAUCACACCACUAUCCAGAUGUGUGCAUCAGGCAUAAUACAUAAAUGAGCUCCUUAACUUGCCUUGGUAGGCAUCUAUGUCAUCCAAUUUUGAGUGUGCAUAUAAGUAAGUAGGCACUUAAACUUUGGUUAAGUUGAACAAGUGGACACCCGUUUCUUACAUGACAAAUCAUGUGAGGUUCAUGCGUUUUGCAUGAAGAAUAACGUGAGAUUUUACGCAUGUAUGUACUUAUGCACAACCAAAAUUGGAGGGCAUAGAUGUCAAUUGGAGCCAAGUUAAAGGGCGCAUUUAUGAAUAAUUCAUUAGUUAUGUUUUCGAGGCUUCUCACUUCAAUAUUAAGAAAUAUAAACAGUUUAUGAAAAAAAUUGAAUCUAUCACCUCCUAUUUACCUGGCAACAGCAUUGUAACGACGAUGGCAUAGUGAGUCAAACUUCUAGCACAGGGAUUAACAAAAUAAAAAACUUUCAAAUCUUGUGAUUUUAAGUUAAAGUUAUGUUAAAUGUACUAAAUUGUAGUUUAAUCUUAUGGUUUUAAACAUACCAUACCAUGUGGAAAGUUGGAAUAGUAUUGCCAAAAAUAUAAUCAUUUUUGUUUAAACAGACAUAAAAUGAAAGUAAAUCAGUUUUUUUUUUUUAAAACGGAGAAAGUAAUUGUUAAGUGGUUCUAUGUCCCACUGAAUAAAAAAAAUUAAAAUAUUUUUUGUUUUGUAAAUUAAAAAUAGUCUUGAUAAUUGAGUUAUAGCAUUACUCACUGUAUGAGUCAAAGAGACUUGCUUUUUUUAAGAAAAUAUACUCCACUACGUGGCUUCUAAGCUGGAGAUUUGUACUCCCUUCGUUUAAAAAAGAAUGACGCAGUUUGACUUUGUAUGAAGUUUAAGAAAAUAAAGAAACUUUUGAAUUUUAUAGUCCUAAAUUAAAGUUAUGUCAAAGGUACCAAAAUAUUCUUUAAUCUUGUGGUUUUAAACAUGUCAUAUGAAAAGUUGAAUUUAAAAUAUUAUAAAAAUAGGAAAGGAUCGUUUUUUUAAAAAUAAAUUAAAAAGAAAAGUAGGUGAUUCUAACGGAGGAGGUAUUUGUUUAUUGAUUAGUCCACAAAGUAUCAGUUGCAGACAGCUCCACAAAGUAUCAGUUGCAGACAGCUAAUAUAAAAAAAAGAAUUUGUGAUUGGUACAGGAAAUUGGCCAAGUUCUUUCUUUAAUAUAUGAGAUAUGAGAAAAGUCUAAGUAUAUGUAGAUAUAUUGUCUAUAAUCAUCUUUUAAUAACUUUCUAUCUCAAAAAUAUAAUUGAAGUUAUCAUCCCAAUUUAUCAUAAGUCGACACUUUGUUAUCUAUAAAAUUUAAUACCAUUUUAGUCACUCGGAGAUUUUGUAUGACAUAUUUUGUAACGCCCGGCAUUUCGGGCUACAAUAUAGACCAUGAUUUCGAUAUGUUGAUAAAUUCCGAAGCCAUAACAUCCUAUGCCAAUACGGCAUGUUAAUUAUUUGUGUAGCAUGUGAAUUCAUUCAAACUUGAAUUUAGACCAUAGAGGUCCUUCAACUCAAGGACGAGUUGAAACUAUUUCGAUCGACUAAGUUUUAGUGGAUGUUGUAAAUUGUGUCAGCUUCCAUCGACCAUAAAAUAUGUUGAAAUGCAUGUCAUGAAAUGUCUUGAAAUGCAUGUCAUGAAAUGUCUUAAACAUGUCAUGAUUUGGAUAUGGUUUUUGACUUUCAAAGAGAGGGUUGUUUUGUUCAUGUUGAAAUAUGUUGCAUAUGAUGAUUGAAUGAAGAGAAUGAUAUGAUACUGAUUGACUUGCAAGUCGGGUAUGACGAUACCCUACAGAGUAUGACAUGUGAUUGAUUUGAACAAAGUUUGAAUGCAUUGAUUUUACAUGAGAAUGGUGGAUGCCGGAAGUAGGCGUUUGAGUGAAAGGGCUCAUCGCUAGAAACCGUAGUUGCCGAUACGGGUCAUAUGAUAUUGUAUCCUAUAUGGGAGGAUAAUAAAAUAAUUGGGACAUCUCACAUGGGGGGAUUCUCUGCGGUAUACUCACAUGGGGGGAUUCUCUGCGGUAUACUCACAUGGGGGUAUACCGGCUCCAAAUCCUAGCGGCUACUUGGAUUGGAGGUUUGGCCGCCGAGCACCAGAGGCGGAUUCCACAUAACCGUGGAAUUACAAUUGUACGGAAUUUCAUCUAGCUCAAUCGCAUUACAUUGGUAUUGAAAACUAUUACAUUACGCCCAUGUGUUUUCAAAUAAUUUGAUAUGAAUUGUGUGCGUAAUUACCAGACAGGGGUGUUUUCGUGCCUCAUGGUUCGGAAUACUCGUCACGACCAGGGCCCGGCUCGGGUCGUGACAAACUUUGUAUCAAGCACGGUUCAUGAUCCCAGAGUGUCUGCGAAAUCGCGUCCGGUAGAGUCCUGUUUAUGGGUGUGUAGCGCGCCACACUUAUAAGCAGGAGGCUGCUAGGCGUUUAGAAAAUGUUUCCCUUCUUUGUGAUUUAGUUCGUGCUUCAGAUUCUGAACUGUCCCCUAAUCAAUGAUCACUUGUAUUUCAGAAACACAGUUAUGCCUCCACGUCGUAUCAUCGAUCAGAAUGCUCAGGCGGAUGAGGUCCGUCCCAUCCAUGGGAUGCGGACCCGUAACAGAGCUCACACUCUAGAACUUGCCCCUACUCCGGGAGUCCCUCCAGUCCCGACCAGUCCACCUCGGGCUCCGCGGACUAAUGUCAACCGUCCCCCAACUGCUCAAGGAGAUAUUUCAAAUGCAGAAUUUAGACGGUCUAUUCAUAUGCUGACACAGUUGGUAGCUAACCAGGCUCAACAAUUGGAAGACGUUGGGACUACAUCUGUUACGUCUGAGGCUACUAGGGUCGGACAUUUCAUGAAGAUGAACCCACCUAAGUUCACUGGCACCAAGGUGGAGGAAGAUCCACAGGAGUUCGUGGAUAAGAUGGAAAAGAUCUUUAAGGUAAUACAUGUGGAUGAGGUUGAAGGGGUGGAACUGGAAACUUAUCAGCUCAAGGAUGUUGCAAAUCAGUGGUAUGUCGACUGGGAGGAUGCAAAAGGUGAGAGUGCUGACCGCACAAUUUGGGGCGAAUUUGUGGAAACUUUCCUUGACCGAUUCUUUCUUCUGGAGUUGAGGGAGGCCAAGGCGGAAGAGUUUAUGAAUCUGAAGUAGGGCAGUAUGAGUGUCCAGGAGUACACUUUGAAGUUUAAUAAACUAGCCCUCUAUGCACCAUAGUUGACUAGUAAUAUGAGAGCCCGGAUGAGGAAAUUUGCAUCCGGCCUUUCUGAUAACCUGGUACUUGAGUGCCAGGGGGCUAUGUUGAACAAGGAGUUAGACUUUGCUCGCUGACCGUUCAUAUGCAGCAGAUAGAAGAGAAGAAAAAGAAAAUUUCAGAAAUAAGAGAGAAAGACAAGCAAUCAAAGAGAGCCAGAACCGCGGAUCAGAAUCACAGCCAGCCACAGAGCGGCAACUGGGGAAAUAGAUGGCAAAAGAAGAAGUCCUGGAGUAAUGCACAGUCUGCUACCAGUGCCCCAGCGCCUGGACCACCAGCAGACAGACGAUCUCAGAGUUUUCAGGCUCAUCAUAGAUCGAGAGCCCUAGAUACUCAGUCGCAGGGGAGUGUGGCCCAACAGCGUCGUACUUAUCUACAGUGUGAUAUUUGUGGGAGGAAUCACCCAGGGAAGUGUUUUUUUUAGGGGAAAAAUUACUAUACUUGUGGCAAAGUGGGACAUCUUCAGAAAGACUGCCCUUCUGCUGGAGGAAAUGCGGGAGGGACUAAGCCCCACGCCGCGUUCAUGGCUCCUCCUCAUAAGGGUGCCCCUUCAGCUGGCAGGAACAGUCGCAACCAGUUAUAUGCUUUGACCAACCGCCAGGAGGUGGAAGUUUCCCCAGAUGUUGUUACCGGUACGUUACAAAUCUUUUCCCAUGAUGUUUAUGUGUUACUUGAUCCCGGGUCUACUUUAUCUUAUGUGACCCCCUAUGUGGCUGUUGGUUUUGCGUUCAAGCCCGAAGUCAUUGAAGAACCCUUCACUGUUUCCACUCCUGAAGGUGAUUCUAUUGUUGCUAGAAGGGUUUAUAGAAAUUGUGUUGUGUCUAUUCUUAGUAGGGAUAUUAUGGCUGACCUUAUAGAACUUGAUAUGGUAGAUUUUGAUGCCAUCUUGGGAUGGACUGGCUCCAUUCGUGUUAUGCCACCCUUGAUUGCAGAACCCGAAAGGUCACUUUUUCUUUUUCACAUGAGACACCAAUUGUAUGGGCAGGGAGUUCUUUGAAACCUAGAGGUCACUUUAUCUCUUAUCUUAGAGCCUGAAAGCUUAUCUCCAAAGGUUGUAUGUACCAUCUAAUCCGAGUAAAAGACUCAAGAGUUGAAAAUCUUUCUUUUCAGUCAGUCUCUGUACUGAAUGAGUUUCUAGAAGUCUUUCCCGAAGAUCUCCCAGGGAUGCCACCUGAUAGGGAAAUAAAUUUUGGCAUUAAUGUGUUGCCAGACACCCGUCCUAUUUCUAUUCCGCCAUAUAGAAUGGAUUCCGCGGAACUAAAAGAGUUAAAAGAGCAGCUGGCAGACCUUUUAGAUAAGGGUUUUAUUCGCCCCAGUGUGUUCCCUUGGGGUGCACCUGUACUUUUCGUGCGAAAGAAAGACGGUUCUCUUCAUAUGUGCAUAGACUAUCGUCAGCUGAAUAAGGUCAUGAUUAAAAACAAGUAUCCUCUUCCUAGGAUUGAUGAUCUUUUUGACCAGCUUUAGGGUGCUAAGUGUUUUUCGAAAAUAGAUCUUCGUUCGGGUUAUCAUCAGUUGAAAUUUAGGGAGUCAGACAUUCCCAAGACAGCCUUCCAAACCCGGUAUGGUCACUACGAAUUUCUAGUCAUGUCCUUCGGGUUGACUAACGCCCCUGCAGCCUUCAUGGAUCUUAUGAAUAGAGUGUUCCGUCAGUUUCUUGACUUGUUCGUCAUUGUAUUUAUUGAUGAUAUUCUGAUCUAUUCUAAGAGUGAAGAGGAUCACGCCAAUCACCUCCAAAUUAUUCUUCAGACCCUUAAGGAUCAUCAGUUGUAUGCCAAAUUUUCUAAGUGUGAAUUCUGGUUAGAUGCUAUUGCUUUUCUGGGGCAUAUUGUGUCCAGUGACGGGAUAAAAGUAGAUCCCCAGAAAGUUGAAGCAGUGAGAAAAUGGUCCAGACCUACGACUCCAACCGAUAUUCGGAGCUUCUUAGGUUUGGCGGGGUAUUACAGAAGGUUCGUAGAGAGUUUUUCUUCCAUAGCUGCUCCGCUUACUAAACUAACUCAAAAAAAGAUUAAGUUUGUGUGGUUUGACUUGUGUGAAAACAGUUUUGAGAAGUUGAAGGACAAGCUGACUACUGCUCCUGUUUUGACCCUUCCCAGGGGUGUAGAUGAUUUUGUGGUUUAUUGUGAUGCGUCCCAUGUGGGAGUUGGUUGUGUAUNNNNNNNNNNNNNNNNNNNNNNNNNNNNNNNNNNNNNNNNNNNNNNNNNNNNNNNNNNNNNNNNNNNNNNNNNNNNNNNNNNNNNNNNNNNNNNNNNNNNNNNNNNNNNNNNNNNNNNNNNNNNNNNNNNNNNNNNNNNNNNNNNNNNNNNNNNNNNNNNNNNNNNNNNNNNNNNNNNNNNNNNNNNNNNNNNNNNNNNNNNNNNNNNNNNNNNNNNNNNNNNNNNNNNNNNNNNNNNNNNNNNNNNNNNNNNNNNNNNNNNNNNNNNNNNNNNNNNNNNNNNNNNNNNNNNNNNNNNNNNNNNNNNNNNNNNNNNNNNNNNNNNNNNNNNNNNNNNNNNNNNNNNNNNNNNNNNNNNNNNNNNCCCUCAGCAGGUUGUCUAUGGGCAGCCUUUCUCAUGUAGAAGAAGGAAAGAAAGAGAUGGUGAAGAAUAUUCACCGCCUUGCAAAUCUGGGAGUGCGACUCUUAGAUUCCGAAUAUGGAGGGGUGAUUGUUCAUGAGUUAGCUAAGUCAUACCUUUGUGCUGAAGUUAAGGAGAAGCAGGUUGAAGAUUCCAUCUUGAUGCAAAUCAAGAAAGAUGUAGGUCAACAAAAGGUUAUGCCGUUUAAAAUUGGUGGUGAUGGUAUUCUGAGAUUUCAGAGUAGGUUGUGCGUUCCGAAUGUUGAUGGGCUACGGGAAAAAAUCCUUAAUGAGGCGCACACUUCGAGGUAUGUCGUUCACCCAGGCUCUACUAAGAUGUACCAUGAUCUGAAAACCUUGUAUUGGUGGAAUAACAUGAAACGUGAUGUGGCUGAUUUUGUGUCUAACUGUUUGAACUGUCAACAAGUGAAGGUAGAACACAUGAAGCUAGGUGGUACUUCCCAAGAGAUAGCCCUGCCUUUAUGGAAGUGGGAGAUGAUAAACAUGGACUUCAUUACAGGACUUCCGAGAUCCUGAAACCAGUAUGAUUCUAUAUGGGUGAUUAUAGAUCGGUUGACAAAGUCAGCUCAGUUUUUGCCUGUGAGGACUAAUUAUUCGGGAGAGGGUUAUGCUAAGAUUUACAUUGAGGAGUUAGUUCGGUUGCAUGGGGCAUCAGUGUCCAUUAUAUCUGAUAGAGGUAUGCCAUUUUCAUCUCAGUUCUGGAGAUCUUUUCAGAAGGGUUUAGGUACACAAGUGAAUUUGAGCACAACUUUCCACCCUCAGACGGAUAGGCAAGCUGAGAGUACCAUUCAGACCCUCGAGGAUAUGUUGAGGGCAUGGGCCAUUGAUUUCAAAGGUAGUUGGGUAGAUCACCUGCCACUGGUUGAAUUCGCUUACAAUAAUAGUUACCAUGACAGCAUCAAGAUGGCUCCUUUUGAGGCUCUGUAUGGGAAGAGAUAUAGGUCUCCGAUAGGAUGGUAUGAAGUGGGUGAGACCCAGUUAUAUAGGCCUGAUCUUGUUCAUCAGGCGAUGGAGAAAGUGAAGAUCAUUAGAGAAUGACUCAAGACUGCUCAGAGUCAUCAGAAGUCCUAUGCCGAUGUUUGGAGAAGAGAACUAGAGUUUGAAGUUGGUGAUUGGGUGUUUCUCAAGGUUUCUCCUAUGAAAGGAGUUAUGCGAUUUGAAAAAAGGGGUAAAUUGAGCCCUCGCUAUAUAGGGUCAUAUCAGAUUUUGAGAAAGAUUGGUGCAGUUGCUUAUGAGCUAGAAUUUCCUGCAAGUUUGUGUUCCGUUCAUCCGGUAUUUCAUGUAUCCAUGUUAAAAAAAUACAUCGGAGAUCAUUCUUUGGUAUUGCCAGUAGAGGGUGUCAAAGUGACAAAUUCCUUGUCUUACGAAGAAAAGCCCGUUGAAAUUUUAGAUCGCCAAGUUCGAAAGCUGAGGAGUAAAGAGAUAGCCUCAGUAAAGGUACUAUGGAGGAAUCAGAAAGUCGAAGAAGCAACUUGGGAGUCAGAAGAUGACAUGAGAAUUAGAUAUCCCAAUUUGUUUGCUUCGAUGGAGGAUGAGACAGAAGGUACUAUUCCUAUCUUAUCUUUCCUAGACCUUUAUUAUUCUUGAAAUCGUGUCUGUCUGUGUCCCGCAUCAUCAUUCGAGGACGAAUGAUCCUAAGAGGGACAAUGUAACGCCCCGCAUUUCGGACUACAAUAUAGACCAUGAUUCUGAUGUGUUGAUAAAUCCCGAAGUCAUAAAAUACUAUGCCAAUACAGCAUGUUAAUUAUUUGUGUAGCAUGUGAAUCCAUUCAAGCUUGAAUUUAUACCAUAGAGGUCCUUCAACUCAAGGACGAGUUGAAACUAUUUCGAUCGACUAAGUUUUAGUAGACGUUGUAAAUUGUGUCAUCUUCCAUCGAAGAUAACUCUCUUUAUAUGUCGAAUUAGGGAGCCUACUAUGUGUCAAAUUAUAGGUCUUCGAGUUAGCCUUCCAACGGUACCAAUUUUGCUAAAAUCCGACAUCCGAGCGAGAAGUUAUGGCAUUUCAAAGUGAUACGCGUCGCCUAACCAAUCGCCCAUGGCCACUGGAAAGUAUAGGCGAUAGCCUAGGCGGCGCCUAUGUAAACAUAGGCGAUAGCCUAGGCGGCGCCCAAGUAAACAUAGGCGAUGGCCUAGGCGGCGCCUAUGUAAACAUAGGCGAUGGAAUAGACGGCGCCUAUGUAAAGAAUUCAAGUGACGUAAACACUCCGUUUUGGGGCAAAAUGGUCCUUUUCCACCCUUGCUUAGCCCUAAAACAGGAAAUUCAGUUCCAAGGACCUCAAAAUACACCUUCAUUCAUCAAAAGUGCUCAAGGAUUCUCCUUAUGGUUUCAAAAUAAAAACCCAAAUAGCUCAAGAUUCGACCGUAGGUUUUCGAAGAUAAUUACAUAUUUGGAAUCACCAAUCCGCAAGCUUCAAGAAACAUCUAUUAUCUUUGGAAAUAGAGGUUCGUGGGGUUAUCUCAAAAACCUCAUGGGCUUUAAAAAUUCAUGUUUUCAAAAUGGGGGUUUUGAAAUUACGAAUAUGAUUAUGUUUUAAAUGUUUUAUGAUAUUGAUUUGGUCUUUAGGCCUAAUUCCAAUGUGAUUUGAUAUAUUAUAUAUGGAUAUUCAUGUGUUCCAUAAUGAUGAUAGAUUGAGAGCAUGAUUUACAUGGAACCCCUCUCUUGAUAUGAUAUUGUUUUAAGUUUUCACAUGAUAUGAAUCGUUUGAAAUCAUCUUUAAAUGCAUGUCAUGAAAUGUCUUAAAAAUAUCAUGAUUUGGAUACGGUUUUUGACUUUCAAAGAGAGGGUUAUUUUGUUCAUGUUGAAAUAUGUUGCAUAUGAUGAUUGAAUGAAGAGAAUGAUAUGAUACUGAUUGACUUGCAAGUCGGGUAUGACGAUACCCUACAGAGUAUGACAUGUGAUUGAUUUGAACAAAGUUUGAAUGCAUUGAUUUUACAUGAGAACGGUGGAUGCCCGAAGAAGGCGUUUGAGUGAAAGGGCUCAUUGCUGGAAACCGUAGUUGCCGAUGCGGGUCAUAUGAUAUUUUAUCCUACAUGGGAGGAUAAUAAAAUAAUUGGGACAUCUCACAUGGGGAUUCCCUGCGGUAUACUCACAUGGGGAUGUACCGGCUCCAAAUCCUGGCGGCUACUUGGAUUGGAGGUUUGGCCGCCGAGCACUAGAGGCGGAUUCCACAUAACCGUGGAAUUACAAUUGUAGGGUAUUCCACCUAGCUCAAUCGCAUUACAUUGGUAUUAAAAACUAUUACAUUAUGCCCAUGUGUUUUCAAAUAAUUUGAUAUGAAUUGUGUGCGUGAUUACCAGACAGAUAGGGGUGUUUUCGGGCCUCAUGGUUAGGAAUACUCGUCAUGGCCAGGGCCCGGUUCGGGUCGUGACAUAUUUCUAUUGAUUUUAAUCUUGAUUACUUGCUACUGUAUCUUUUUUUUCAUAUACUCAUAUUUAUGUUUUCAUAGUGAUUACUUGCAGUGAUCAGUUGCUUCUUCCCAAAUUUCUACCAUUAAAAGGUUAGUUUUCCUUAAUUACUCAUAUUUAUAAUCUAAUAACUAUUAGUUGAGCGACCACAUAAGUUUAGAAAAACUAAUCUUCAACCGUAGUCUCAAUCCAUCAUUUAGAAAAUACGAAUUACUUGAAAUAAAUACCUUGUAUAAAUAGUCUUCUUGCUUCUAAGAAUUUUUGGGAGGAAGAAAAUGAGGAAUUUUGAAGAUUUCUGCUAGUUUAGGACGACUUUAGGGUUAUAAAACGGCUUGGGAAAGUAACAUGGUGUGAAAGGACAAGUUUGCACCUAAUUUAAUGAACUUUUACGUCGGAGAGGUAUGCUCUGUGCUGCGCACCGCAACGCGGAGGCAAACAAGUGAUCUCCUGGCUUGAGCUCCACCCUGCGCUUCCAAACGCUUAGCUGGGAUGCUUCCUUAUUAAAAUGUCCAUAACUUUUUGCUUGGAAAGAAAACUCAAAAACCUUUAAUUUGGUAGGUAAUAGGCCACCUAACUCAUUAUAUACUAGGAUUAAUGAUCAUUGGAAGUUGACCCAAGUAAAAACGUCGACUAAAACCAAUCGGUAGGAAAGUUCUCAACUCAACUUUGAGCUAAGAGAUUUUUAUGUCCUCAAUUCAUCUACAAAGAUGUUCCCAUACUAAAGAAUUGGUAUCACGUUAUCUAUAAUACCAUUGACCUCUUGCAUCUUGCAGCUUUCAGGUCAUAAUCGCAAAGGCAAACGUGAAUACAGUAGAUAUGGCUCAUACUAGUGUGGCGUCUCUUAUGAGAACAAUAGAACUCUUAACAUCCAAUUCACCAAUACAAUCUCUAACCUGUGGUCUCAGUGAAGACUUUUCUGCUCUUCAUGAAAAGAUUAGUUCCCUCGAAGUAGUUGUCAAGAACUUUGAGAAAAACAAUGUUUUGGGGGAAAUGACAGAUUUGGAAGUGCAGAUAAAAGAAGUUGCAAAUGUUGUUGAACGCACAAUUCAACCAGGAGUAACUGAAGUUGUACUGGAAGAUGAUGAAAAUCUGAGAGAAAAGGCACAAGAUAGGCUUUCUGAUAGCCUGCAACAAGCAGCAAAGGUUAUUGAUCGUAUCUGGAAAGAGUCAACAAAGAUUCAAGGUAAAGGGAACGUGAUGAAUUUUCAAUGGUUCAAGAUUUUUCUGUGCUUCAUGAUUUUUCAGUGGUUCAAUAUUUUUCAAUGGUUCAACAAAACAUCAAAGGAAUACACAAAUGUUGACAAAAUAAUGGUUGGACGUGAUGAUCAAAGGGAACGGUUGUUAAAUGAUCUGACUAUAGGCUACUCUGGUGAACCCAAAGUCAUCCCGAUUGUCAGGAUGGGAGGCAUAGGUAAAACAACCUUAGCGAAAGAGGUUUACAACGAUGCGUGCAUCCGUUCUCAUUUUGAUGUUUGUGCCUGGGCUACUGUUUCUCAACAACACAACGUAAAGGAAAUCUUGUUGAGCCUUUUGCGUUCAACAAAGGAUGACAAAGUUUUCACAAGCAGUGAGGCAGAGCUGGCAGACAUGCUAUAAAAGAGUUUAAAGGGUAAGAGAUAUUUAAUUGUAUUGGACGACAUGUGGAAAAGUGAAGCAUGGGAUGCCGUGAGACUAUGCUUUCCAAUGUGGAAAAGUGAAGAGAAUAUUGUAGACGACCCGUAACACUGAAGUAGCGCGCUAUGCUGGUACAGAGAAAUCUUUGCCAAUGAGGUUCAUGGAUCAAGAUGAGAGUUGGAACCUUUUUAAAAGUGUAGUAUUUGCAAAUGAAGCAUUACCAUCUGAGUUCGAGACUAUCGGGAAGCAGAUUGCAGAAAAAUGUCACGGGCUACCACUAACUAUUGUCGUGGUUGCGGGGCUUCUCAAAUCUAAAAGGGCAAUAGAAGAUUGGGAAAGUGUUGCCAAAGAUGUCACGUCAUUUGUCACAAAUGAUCCUGAUGAACAAUGUUCACAUAUUCUCUGGUUGAGUUUCAAUCACUUAACCAGCAAUCUAAAAGCAUGUCUUCUGUAUUUCGGAAUUUUUUCGGAAGACGCUGAGAUUCCAGUGAAGUAUUUGAUGAGAUUGUGGAUGGCUGAAGGGUUCCUGAAUUUGGAAAGAGAGGCUGAGAAUUGUUUACAAGAUCUUAUCGACAGAUGUCUAGUUCUCGUCAGCAAGAAAAGUCGAGAUGGAACGAAAAUUAGAUCAUGUAAGGUUCAUGAUCUAAUACAUGACCUGUGCUUGAGAGAAGUUCUAAGGGAAAACGUCUUUAUCAUGAACGAAAUUGUGUUUGAAAAAUCAGAUGCAAAUCAUGUUUCUUCAGAAUGCCAAUCUCUCAGUAGCCUUAGAAUGAAGCCCUUUAAGCGAGGGACUGAUGGUGAAAUUAGUGAUUCUCGCUACGAACUUUAUAGGGCCCUUCUUUCCCCUGGACAUCAUCAGUUGACAGAUGAUAACAACAACAAUCUUUUGAAAAGAACUCAUUCUAUUUUCUUUGCUUGUAGAACUUCUUCAACUUUUAUUCUCAAGUCGGAGCUUAUUCAUUUCAAAUUACUCAAAAUUUUGGACUUGGAUGGCAUAGAGAUUGAUGUUUUCCCUCUAGAGAUACUAAUCCUCAUCUGGUUGAGGUACCUAUCAUUGCUCCGCCGUAGUAAACUUGUCAUACCGACAGAAAUUUGCAGGUUAUGGAAUCUGCAGAUAUUCAUUAUUGAAAGGUCUCAUACAACUAUUCCUGAGCAAAUUUGGGGACUAACGCAAUUAAGGCAUCUUGAACUGCAAAGAUUUUAUUUGCCAAAUCCCCCAAAUGGAUGUGUUAACAAAGGGAAACACUUGGAUUUUCCAAAUAUACAAACUAUUUCUUACUUGUCUCCAUGUUGCUGCACGAAGGAGGUUAUUUUGGGGAUUCAGAAUGUUAAAAAACUAGGAAUCGGAGGCGAUGUGGAUGACUUUAAAAGUAUUCAGGAGUCUGGGCUUCUCAACAAUCUUGUCCAUCUGCAGAAACUUGAAACAUUGAGUUUAAAAUUAUUUUCGUUGGAAAGUAUAAGCAUUUCACCAGUGACCAUUCCAAGUGCAAAAGCUUUUCCAGCCACGCUCAAGAAGCUGAAGUUAAAAAGUACUUAUCUAAGCUGGUCGUACUUGGACAUCAUAGCUGAGUUGCCUAACCUUGAGGUGCUAAAGCUGAUGCGUAAUGCUUGUGAUGGCGAAGAAUGGAAUCCAAAUGUUAAUGAUCUCAGGCACUGGAAAGCCACAGAUGACAACUUUCCUGUCCUUGAGCGCCUCAUGAUAGGAAGUUGCCAUCAUUUGAAAGAGAUACCCAUUGAGUUUGCAGCUAUCACACACUACAACUGAUUGAGUUUAGAGACUGUCCUCCCGGACUUGGGGAGUCUGCUGCGCGAAUUCAACAAGAACAAGAAGACCUCGGAAACAACCCCGUGGAUGUUCGUAUCACUGAUCCUUGUAAGUAUAUAUAUAGUAUUUAUCAAGGUCACACUUUGUUUCUCAUUUACACAAAAGUUAUUUGGCUUUGCUACAUACUCUUUCACAACAAUAGCUUUCACAAAAUUUAGUUAAAAUCCUAGUUAAAUUGUUAGAGUAAAAUGGUCCUUUAAAUAUAUUUUUGAACAGUUUUGGUACUUUCUUUUAAGCUUGCUAAAUGUGAGCACAUUUGGUCUAAUUGUUACUCACUCCAUCCAUCAAUAGUUGUCCAUUAUUAUUUACUUGUCACACAGGUUAAGAAAUAGUAAAUAAAAGGAAUGGUUUUAUCAUAUUACCCUUUGAAUUUAGAGUAAAGCAUCCAGUACCCCCUACUCGAACUACGACCAAAGUUGCUACGACACACUCCGACUUCACGAGGGUUUUAUUACCUCCUAACUAAAUUUUAGCGUAUUUUUGUCAACCUUUUUAGCUGAUGCGGCACCCUUUGUCAACCUUUUUAGCUGAUAUGACACCUUUGACGUGGGCAAAAGGGUCACAAAAAUACGCUAAAAUUGUGUUGGGGUUAAUAGGACCCUUGUGAAGUAGGGUUGUGUCGUAGCAACUUUAGCCAUAGUUCGAGGGGGUACUGGAUGCUUAUCUCUUUAAAUAAAUUUAAUGCUUUGAAAAAAACUUUGGAUAGUGAAUCGUAUUUGAUGUUAAGGAUUAAAUGAAUAAACUAUCCAUUGUAUAAAUUAUAGUAAAAUGAGGUUUACAUGGAACCAAUUCUUUUACGAAAUAAUUGAAAUAUGAAGAAGCGAAACACUUUGUAUUAAUUUUAUCAAGGUUACACUCUUGUUUCUCAUUUCUACAAGUCACAUAUACAGGGAUGCUCCUCCAAGCACUUCAUAAUUACGAUUAUCACGAUACUGAAGAUUCAGAUUCAGAUGCUGAUGCUGCGGAAGGUGAUGUUAAUUAAGAUCGUUGGUCGUUUUCUGUUCGGAAUAACCUGUAAUGAAAAGGGAAACUAUAGAUUAACAAUUUGAUACUGUUAUAGACUGUUGAUGCUAGUUCAUCACACUGUGUUUUUCAUAAAUGUAACAUGUAUUACAUUCUUCGAUUGCUGUAGUUGUUGUUGUUGUUUUAUGUGGUGUUUGAAUGAGGGUCUAGCAGAAAAUACUCUUUAUCUCUCAAAAGGCGAGGGUAGAUUUGUGGACACCCACCGUUUUCAUACCCCACUUAUGAGAUCAUGGUACUGUUGUUGUUGUUUUAUAACGUGUUUGAAUUAGGAACUAGCGGAAAAUAGUCUCUCUAUCUCUCAAAAGGCGAGGGUAGAUCUACGUAUACCCUGCCAUUUUUAGACUAACUUAUGAGAUCAUGGUACUGUUGUUGUUGUUGUUUUAUGUGGUGUUUGAAUGAGGGUCUAUCGGAAAACAAUCUCUCUAUUUUUCACAAGGUGAGGGUAGAUCUACAUACACCCUGUCGUUUUUAGACUCACUUAUGAAAUCAUGGUGUUGUUGUUGUUGUUGUCGUUGUUGUUUCUGUUGUUAUUGUUUUAUGUGGUGUUUGAAUGAGGGUCUAGCGAAAAAUAGUCUCUCUAUUUCUCAAAAGGCCCACUUAUGAGAUCAUGGUACUGUUAUUAUUGUUGUUAUUGUUGUUUUAUGUGGUGUUUGAACAAGGGUCUAGCAGAAAACGGCCUUUUUAUCUCUCACAAAGCAAGGGUAGAUUUACGUACGCCCUGCCGUUUUUAGACUCACUUAUAAGAUCACGGUACUGUUGGUGGUGGUGGUGGUGUUGCUGUUGAUUUACUGUACUGUUGUCGCACAAGCAGGCUUGAAAAUCUCUCUUUCGCCUCUCCUCCCUGUCUCAAUUCUGAUUGAUUAGCUUCUUCCUUUGCGCAAGCUACAGUCUAACGAUCCCCUUGUUGUGUUACUAGCGGAAAAUAGUCUCCCGUGCUUCCUUAGUCCGUGAAGUCCUUGGAGCAUGUGCUAUAACAAGCUAGCGCGCAAUGGUUGAAAAGCCGUUGUUGCUUGCUGCUUGCAGGAUCGAAAAUCGUCAAAAACACACCUAAAGUAUCUUGAUUUUUCGAUUUUUUUACCUGAAUUAUCAGAUGCGUAAAUUUCCUACAUGAACUAUCACCACCUUCCUUUUAAGUUAAUAUGGACUAGAGGGAGUAUUAAUUAGCGAAAAAAUAAUAACUUUUAUCGAUUCAACUUUUUUACACAACAUGAAUACACAUGUGAAAAGACACACUUCAAGUUGCAAUAAAUAUCAAGUUAUGAAACUCAUAAUGUCAAAAGCACAAUGAAUUCAAUACUGAAAACUUUUGAAAUUGAACUCAUCGAGUUUAGAUUUUGAAUCUGCCUCUACCUGCCUCCAAGUCUAGCCGAGACCAGUGCAUAUCAAGUCUAGUCAUCGAACGUACUCAAAAAUCCACCAAGAAAUCCAGCACCAUUGCAUUCACCACAUAACAUGUCCUUUUUACCUCUGCAUUUAAAAAAAUAAAUAAAUAAAUAAAUCAAACAUGAGACCAACAACGAGAACAUACCCCGUGUAAUCACACAAGUGGGGUCCGGGAAUAGAGUGUAUGCAGAUCUUACCUAACAACAACAACAUACCCCAUGUAAUCCCACAAGUGGGGGGGUCCGGAUAGAGUGUAUGCAGAUCUUACCUAACAACAACAACAUACCCUGUGUAAUCCUACAAGUGGGGUCCGGAGAUAGAGUGUAUGCACAUCUUACCUAACAACACCAACAACAUACCCCUAACGAUAACAACAACAUACCCCAUGUAAUCCCACAAGUGGGAGUCUAGGGAAUAGAGUGUAUGUAGAUCUUACCUAACAACAACAUACCCCUAACGACAACAACAUACCCCGUGUAAUCCCGCAAAUGGGGUCCGGGGGAUAGAGUGCACGCAGAUCUUACCUAAAAACAACAACAUACCCGUAUAAUCCCACAAGUGGGGUCCACGGGAUAGAGUGUAUGCAAGUCUUACCUAACAACAACAUACCCCGUGUAAUCCCACAAGUGGGGUCCGGGGAUAUAGAGUAUAUGCAGAUCUUACCUAAUAACAAUAACAUACCCCGUGUAAUCCCUAUGCAGAUCUUACCUAAUAACAAUAACAUACCCCGUGUAAUCCCACAAGUGGGGUCCAGGAAUAGAGUGUAUGCAGAUCUUACCUAACAACAACAACAUACCGCGUGUAAUUCCACAAGUGGGGGUCCGGGGGAUAGAGUGUAUGUAGAUCUUACCUAACAACAACAACAUACCCCAUGUAAUCCCACAAGUGGGGGGUCCGGAUAGAGUGUAUGCAGAUCUUACCUAACAACAACAACAUACCCUGUGUAAUCCUACAAGUGGGGUCCGGGGAUAGAGUGUAUGCACAUCUUACCUAACAACACCAACAACAUACCCCUAACGAUAACAACAACAUACCCCAUGUAAUCCCACAAGUGGGAGUCCAGGGGAUAGAGUGUAUGUAGAUCUUACCUAACAACAACAUACCCCUAACGACAACAACAUACCCCGUGUAAUCCCGCAAAUGGGGUCCGGGGGUUAGAGUGUACGCAGAUCUUACCUAAAAACAACAACAUACCCGUAUAAUCCCACAAGUGGGGUCCAUGGGAUAGAGUGUAUGCAAGUCUUACCUAACAACAACAUACCCCGUGUAAUCCCACAAGUGGGGUCCGGGGAUAGAGUGUAUGCAGAUCUUACCUAAUAACAAUAACAUACCCCGUGUAAUCCCACAAGUGGGGUCCAGGAAUAGAGUGUAUGCAAAUCUUACCUAACGACAACAACAUACCCCGUGUAAUCAUAGACCCUCAGCUCAAGCGGGGUAUGGGGUAGAGUGUACGCAGACCUUACCCCUACCUUGGAAGGUAGAGAGGUUGUUCCACAUAGACCAUCAGCUCAAGGAAAAGCAUAUCGAGAAAGAAAUAAGGGAAGUGAAGAAAUCAUAACAAAAUCCUAAAAGAGCAUGAAACCAAAGGACAAUAGUGCGCUAAUCGAAGUACAAGAGACAGUAGAUAGUAACAUUAAUCAAAGGACAAGAAACUAUGGGAGAAAUACUACGACUAAGAGUACGAAACCAUAAUCACCAAAAGUACAAGUGAUAGUACAAGUACCUGCACAGCCAACAUAGUCCACCGGCUUUAAACCGUCCGUUGAAAUGAUCGACCGAGUUAACCCCAGUUCCUUUACAUUGUGAGCACGCCACUGCACCUGAGAGCGAUACAGCGUAUAAGAAACAGAAAGUUCUGGACAAAAUCAAGUUGAAAUUUAACUAUUUCAGAUCUGGUCGAUUGUAUGUAUUGACUUCAGAUGAAUCGGAAACUUGAUAUGGUAAUGAAUAUAAGCAAGAAAAAAGAAAGAUAAUAGCGAAUUUAAGUAUGCAACAUGGUAAAGAACCAGUAAGACUGCAGUAUUAGCAAACAUCUUGAAACUAGACACUUUUCACUCAAGACACAUCGUAAUUCUCACACAAAAUUGACGAAUAAUUUGAGAGACGUUCGUAAGAAAGGUGAUCUCUGAUCGAGCAGUCAACAUCAAGAGAAAUUCCUUCUUGAUGCACAUAUCAUUUCAAGAAAAAAAUCCAAACAGAACGUAAAAUAUACAGAAAUGCACAGUUACAAUAUCAAGAAAUAUUAGUCACUUGGAAUACGGAGCAGCAUGAGAGUGUUUGUCGAGAAAAGUCCGCUCAGUAAUGACAAAUCAGAAUUCAAAAUUCACCUAAAAUGCAUCAAUCACUUACCACUUCCAUCACAAUUUUGACAGACGAUGCUCCUCACUUUGGUGUCUUUAUCACUGUCAGUGGCCUAGAAAAAAGUGUAUCGUAUUAGUAUCUGCAAAAUACAGCCAACUCAAGGAAAGAGAAGCAAAUAUGCUGUAAUACUAUAAUUUUUUUGAGUGAAGAAAAUUUCUGGAGCAAACUGAAGUUUCUAUAGAACUCGAGUAAGUUCUCGUAGACCGUCAUAGUAACAGGUAGCAUUAAGCUUAGGAUUUCCAUCUGUACGAAUUACUCAAUUCGAUUUAUACGAAAAGAGCAAUGAAAAAGAAAGACACAAAGAGAUCCUCAUUGGGAAUGACAUUAUGUUGCCCUAUGUUGCUCGGACUCUUCAAAAAUGUCAUCGGGUGCGUGUCGAAUCCUUUAAAAGUAGUGCAUUUUUGAAGGAUCCAACGUGGGUGCGGCAACAAUUUUGGAGAGUCCGAGUUUGCCUGAUCCCGUUUCACAUAAAAUUGAGUGAUGAAUUUAAUAUGAUGCAGAUUCUACCACAUAUUAUGACAAACUUCCAUAAUCUUUAUUUAGCUUUUUAGCCUAGCCAAGUAUGUCACAGCAAUCAUCUCGUAUUAGUCCUUCUCGAUUACGGACCAUUUUGAGCAUCAGAAACUUCUUUUAAAGCUUCAUCGAUCCAGUCUCAAGACAAGACUGAACAUUAAGCACAGAAACUUCUCAUUCAACGAGUUUUACACGAUUCGUUAUUUACUUUUGUGAUUGUUUCUCUUCUAAAUUCCGAAUCUCCGUUCCUCAUCUAUAAACUGUUACUGUUAAUUAUUCAGCUGAAAUUUGUUGUACCAGUUUACUACGGAACUUAAAAACUUAUUCAUCACAGUUCUAGGUAGGUGUUGGACAAGCAUGCCAUAGGGGCACAUUUUCAUAAUGCAUCUACUACUUCAAUUAAUUAUAACGAACGAGCAGCACUUAACAAGAAUACGUGUAGCUAUGCUUAGUUGACGGUACCCCUCUUUUUUUUUUUCCAUUUUCUCGGUGUUGAUAACUUGCAGAAUGGAUGAAAUUGGAAAAGCAGUUCUGAAGGUUCACUCGGCCGUAUCUCAUAUAUGCAGCACUGUCCCAGAAAAAUGCCUAGCGAAUUUCGCCAAGUAUACCUACCUAAGUGUCAUAUAACUUCAGCGCUUGAGUUACGUAUGUCUAAAGGCACACUGGUUUUGCUAUGACCCUCACUGUCUAGCCGUUGGAGCACGUACACUUCUGAUAUUAUGGGUUCAAAUUUUCAUAUUUUUAGAAUUUUAGUGUGUUAAAACGUUGGGUACAAUUGAACCCGCUGAUUUUGUGUUCCAUCCACUGUUGUGUCCAGCGGCGGAGCCAGGAUUGACAUCAAGGGGGUUCACAAGUGUACAUACGAACUAACCGAAAGGGGGGUCAACAUCUACUAUAUAUACAUACAAAAAUAAUUUUAACCAUGUAUAUAUAUAGUAUAAUUUUCCGUCGAAGGGGCUUCGGAUGAACCCCCUACCUUAUAUGUAGCUCCGCCCCUGACUGUGUCUAGGCAUAAAAGUAAGCAAACGUAGCCAUUGCAUAUCUAUGUAGCACAUAAAACUGCACAUUUGCACUUAUAUUUAUCCACAGAAGCGCGAAUUUACCUUCACUUCCACAACACUUAAGUUACUCUUGGAGCUGUAGCUAACAUCUUUGAUCCAUUGAAUCUUUCUUGCACCGCUGUUCCCGUUCCCAUGAAUUAGACCUGCCAAGAAUAGAAAUCCAUAUAAACCAAGUAUCCAACCAUUCACGUGACUUUAUGGGCUAUCUUUCAAGUGUGCGAUCUCAACAGGGGCGGAGCUACACUUGGCCUAGGGGGUUCGAACCCCCUUUAGAAAAAAAUUAUACUAUUUAUACAUAGUUAAAAUUAUUUUUUAUGUAUAUACAGUAGACGCUGAACCCCUUUGAUUAGUUCAUCUGUUUACUUCUAAACCCCCUUAACAAAAAUUCUGGCUCCGCCAUUGGAUCGCAACUACAUAAAAGGUUUCCAAAAAGAUUGAAUCUUUAAAACCAAACACGUUUAUAUUCUACGAAGAUUUGCAGAACCACUAAACAUAGAGAAUUUGCCAUUAAUACAGUGAAUUUAGUUGUUUCUGAAAAGGUUCUCAAUCUUUUUUUGGUUCCCAUAGGUGUCCACAUUGGGCUCGACUAAAUUCAAAUUCGUGCCUAGAAGUCUCAUAUUGGUAAUUAAAAAAGAAAAGGAAUCUUGAAAACCAAACACAACAAAAAUGAACCAAGAAACCAUUAAAGACCAAUACAUCAACUACUCCCUCUGUUCAUUUUUACUUGUCAGAUUUGCUUCUCGAGAGCCAAACUGUUAAACUUUAACCAAUAUUUUAAGAUAAUUUACUCUCCCAUUAAUAUAAGAAGGAUUGCAACUUAAAGUAUUUUUCGUAUAGUUUUCAAACAUCUAAAUUUUAAGAGAUAAGCAUCCUGUACCUCAGCCAAAGUUGCUACGACACACUCUAACUUCACAGGAUCCUAUUACCUCCUUGAACUCAAUUUUAGCGUAUUUUUAUCACCCUUUUUGCUGACGUGGAACCUUUAUUACAUAAAAAUAGAGGUCACGUUAAAGGUGUCACGUCAGCUAAAAAGGUGUCACGUCGGCUAAAAAGAUUUGACAAAAAUACGCUAAAAUUUGGCUCUGAAGUAAUAGAACCCCGUCAAGUUGAAGUGUAUCCUAGCAAAUUUGAUUAUAGUUCGGAGUAUGGGAUGUUUUACUCAAAUUUUAAUUAUAAAAUGUUAAAUUAGUCUCCUUCAAUUUAGCUUUAAAAUCUAGUUAAAUUAACUUUAAUAAAGCAAAAUAUGACAAGUAAAAAUGAACGGAGGAAGUAAUUGAGAACAAAAAUCAUAAAUAUCCAUAAAGCAAAAAAAAAAAAAACACAAAAAUUACAACAAAGAGAAAUUGAGUAUAACCAUAUGUACCUGGUUUAUUGAAAGAGUUCAAUGAAGCUAAAGGUGUGAAACACAGAGAAUUUGCCAUUAAGACAAUUGAAUCUUUAGUUGUUUUGUGAAGUGGUUUGGGAGAAGUAAAGCAGUUGUUGAACUGCUAAAGUAAUAAUGUUGGUAAUAACAAAAACAUGCAACCGCAGGUUACUAGAUAAGGUCAGUUGUUGCUAUGAAUAUCUAAAAGAAAAUGACUCAUUUAGCCUUUAUCCUACCAAAGGCAAAAAGUAGUUGUAUAAAAUAUCUCAUUUAUUUCCGCCUUCCAAUAAUAUUUGUUUACUGUUGACUUGAUAAAUAUGAGAAAAUUUGGCUAUUAAGCCUCUUCGGAUUUUCAAUUAGCAAAAUAGUCUACUGAAAAAAUUUGGCUAUUAAGACUCUUCAAGUUUCCAAUUAGCAAAAUGAUCUACUUCUAUUUUCUCAUCUGUCAAAUUAAUAAUCGAUCUGUUCAUAUAUAGGUCGGAUCGAUGAUCGAUUUUUUCAUAUAUAGGUCGAAUCGAUAAUCGAUUUGUUUAUAUAUCGGUCGGAUAGAUAAUAAAUCUGUUUGAAAAAUGGGUCAUAUCGCAAAAAAAAAAAAAAAUUGUAGUCUAUUUAAUUAAAUAGAAGACUUGAAAAGUUCAUUUAACAAAAGAUCCCGAUAAAUAUAGCUUAAGAAAUACUAAAUUAUGGAGUUUAUCUUUUAAAUAUAUUUCAUUUUUUGGUCUUCUUGAUAAAAAUAUUUAUUUCAAUUUAGUUAUCUCAUUUAUAAAAAAAAAAUAUUAUUUCUUUCUAUAUUAUCUCUAUUAUUAAAUAUGACUAUAUAAAGUAUAUAUACUCAAAUUUAUAUUUUUAAAGUAUAAUUAAUAAGGCUAAUUUGAUAAAAUAAAUUAUUAAUAAAUAUUUUACUAAGCGAAGUGACAAAUCAAUAAGAACCCACUACUUUGAAAUGGAGGAAGUAAUAAAUGUAAUGCUUAAAAGAAUGUAUUAGAUAAUGAUAUUUAAUAAUAAUAAAAAAGAACUUUAAAACUUGUUUUUCUAAAAUAUUUGUGUGCGAUAAAUUAUUUUCAUUAAGGGUAGAAUGAUAAUAUUAAAGCUAAAUUAUUUUUAGUUAUAGUAAGAUAACAUUAUUUUUGAGACAGAUUAAAAAGAAAAAAUUUUCAUAUAAAAUACUUUCUUUGUCCAAUAAUAUUUAUCCAUUAUACUAAAAAUAUAUAUCUAACAAUAUUUGUUCAGGUUGAAAAAUUAAUGUAUAAUUUACCCUUUUGCUACACAUUUUUACGUUUUCUAUUAAAUAUUAUUCAUCACUCAAUUUAUUUUUCAAAACUAAAUUUAUUAUAAUCAAACGGUGAUAGUAAAAUUACUUCAAUUAUUUAUUUUUCUUAACAUGUGUAUCAAUAAUAGACAAAUACUAUUAAAUGAAGGAAGUAGGAUUUAAUAUCAAGGGUAAAAUAUAUUUAUUUCAGUCGUUUCUUGAUUGUGUAUAAAAUUUUUAAUAUCUUUUGUUUAUGUAAAACAUCACUUAUUUUAAAAUAAAUUGAAAUAAUAAAGACACCGCUAAUUUUGAAAUGGAAAAAAUAUUUUUCAAGAAGAUAUUUUCCUCCACACCAAAUACACUGUUAAGUAAAGACUGGGAUUCUUUAUUAAAUGAUCUUUUCAAGUCUUCUUUUUAAUUAAAUAGAUUAUAAUUUUUUAAUUUUUUUUUUAGGAAAAUGACUCAUUUUUUAAACAAAUCUAUUAUCUAUCUGACUGAUAUAUAGACGAAUCGAUUAUCGAUCCGACCUAUAUAUGAACAUGAACAGGUCGAUUAUCAAUCCGACCUAUAAAUAGACAAGUCAAUUAUCAAUCCGACAGAUCGAUUAUCGAUCUGACCUAUAUAUGAACAGGUCGAUUAUCAAUCCGACAGAAUCAAUUAUCAAUCCGACCUAUAUAUGGAUAGGUCGAUUAUCAAUCCGACAGAUGAGGAAAUAGAAGUAGGACAUUUUGCUAAUUGAAAACAUGAACAUGCUUAAUAGCCAAAUUUUCUUAGCAUGCCAUUUUGCUAAUUAGAAACUUGAAGAGAUUUAAUAGCCAAAUUUUCUCAUAAAGACAGACCCAACCCCCUUAGUUGAUUCAUCUGUUUUAACCCGUCUAAAUAUAAAGCAAGCAGUAUCAGAGCCAUUUGUACUUGAGGGGUGUUAAUCGAUACCCUUACAUCGAAAAUUUUACAUUGUGUAAUUAGGUAAAAACAGAACAUUUUGUUAUGAACAUAUAUUACAUAUGGACACUUCUUAACCUCUUCGUAAUUUUACGUCUUUAUAUUUUCACACUUUUUUAUAAAAAUUUUGACUCUACGAAGCCUAAUCCGUUCAUUUGACACCCCCUAGAAUGAACUAAUUAAAGUCAAUCUUUGCUUUUUCAGUGUUGGUCAAUUGAAAAAGUGCACUUUUUCCCAGUAACUUUUUUGCAAGUUUCUAACAGUAAUUGGAACUUGGAGGUUGUUUUAUUUGAGUCACAUGUGGGAAUAAAAUUUUUUGCACUUUCUUGUGAAGUUCAUCGAUUGAUGUAUUUUCUCAUAUUUUUUAUAAAUAGAACAUGAAAAAAGCUAAUGUAUUUAGCUAUGGAUGAUUUUUUUUUCAGAAAAUAGAAGAAGUUAUUUUCACAAGACAUUGUAGCAAAGGUAUAAUUUAUCAAUGUACAUUCUCUUUAAUAUGUUUUUUUUUUAAUUUCUUUAUGAUAAUCGAGAAAUCUCAGAAGGUCAGUUGAUACGUAGUUUAAGACUCGGUGGAUACCUAACACUCUACCAAGUUGUAGUUACAGUUCCUUUUUUAGUAUGCUUUAUCGUACUUUCUUUAGUAUUUUAUCGCGACUCUUAUUUUUGUAUUUUUUUUCCAAACUGUUUUGUUAUACUUUUACUUGAGCAGAGGGUAAAUCGGAAAUAGUCUUUGUAGCUUUUAAGGUAGGGAUAAGGUUUGUAUAUACAAUACUCGCCCUCCGGUCCUCAUUUGUGGGAUAACACUGAGUAUGUUAUUGUUGUCGUCGUCAAUCGUUCUCCACCUAAAUAUACUAAAACUAGUUUGGUUUACUACCAGAGUUCUCAUGACGUGCAUCUAACUCACACAUUGUGUGCCCCAUUUUGUCGUAUCAGUGAUUAGGUUAUUCCCAUUUUGUCGAUAUUUGUGUUGGUGGGAGGUAAGAGGUACUCAAUGGAUUGAUCGAGAUGUGCAAUCUGACCGGACACCAUGUCGGAAAAACACUUCAGCUAUCAGUAGAACAGGCUAGGAGAAAGUAGCAAGAGUUUGACAUUUUUUUUCCCUGAUACCAGGCUAGCUUGAGCGCACCUUGACUAAUUCCACGGGAUACCUGCCACCUCAAACCUCGACUAAUUCCACCGGAUCCCUGCCAGGCUAGGAGAAAGUAGCAAGAGUUCAAUGUUGUUCUUUGAUAACCAUGGUGUUCGGGCUAGCUUGUGCGCACCUCGACUAAUUCCACGGGAUACUUGCCACCUCCCACCUCGACUAACUCCACCGGAUCCCUGCCAGGCUAGGAGAAAGUACCAAGAGUUUAGAGUUCAAUGUUGAGGCAUCAUUGUAGGCAAAAUGAAGAUUCUGCAGGUUGCACUCUCUUGAAAAUCAUAUUGGGCAUCCCGGUGCAUUAAAGCUCCCGCUAUGUUCAGGGUCCGGAGAAUGGCCCACCACAAGGGCGUAUUGUACGCAGCCUUUACCUUGCAUAUUGAACACACUUUAAUAUCAGCUUUAAAAUUUUCUGCUAAAUGUAGCUGCCAAUCAAGCCCUGGUGUUACCAAGUCGAGAUGGAGGUGCCAAGACCAUGAGGUUCCAAAUUCAGCUCCCAACGAUGUAUGGACUUACGAUACAGAGACCACGAUCGACUUUCCAAGCACAUUACACAAUCUGCAAUGUAGCCGUUCGUGUAAAUAUUUCAACGUCUUCUUAAUGCUGGACACCAAAAUAUUACCUCUAACGAAAGAAAACUCACCCUACUUUUAUGCGCUUAUGAUGCUAACUUAGCACACAAGUGGGGUAUGGGGAGGGAAGAGUGUACGCAGACCUUACUGCUACCUCACGGAGGUAGAGAGGUUGUUUCCGAAAGACUUCUGGCUCAGGUUACGCAUAUCAAAGCGAUAAAAAUAGUACGUUGUUGAAGCGCUUUAUUGCACUUAAACAACUGCAUUGCAAGAUUCUGGGAAAUAAUCACCUGUUAGUAUCGAGUUUCAUAGCUAGCUUGAACUGUUUCAGCCGUAAGCUUUACCUCGAAACUCGUUAAUUCUGUUCCUGGCUUCAGAUCACCAAGUUGAUUAUAUUGCUGCAGAAAUGCUUUCACUGCCCAAACAUGUCUGCUCUUACCUUCCAACAGUGUGCCCUCGAGUUCCUCAGAUACUGUGAUUUCGUCUAUCUGCUAUCCAACUAAUGAGCUAGUAACUUACGAAAAUGUAAAGGCUCAUUAACUUGGUAGACAGAGUUACCUGGUAUUUGCGCUGGUGGGAGGUAGUGGGUACCCCAUGGAAUUAGUCGAGGUGUAAGCAAGCUUGGACAAAACAAACAAAAACGUAAAGGCUAUGUGCAGAAGCCCUAAUCACACUCUCUUUCCUCCUCUUUUGCAGACUGAAUGUAGCCUAUGUUGCUUCGACUCUUCAACAAUGUUGCCGGGUGCAUGUCGGAUCCGUUAAAAGCAGUACAGUUUUAGAGGAUUCGACAUGGGUUUGGCAACAUUGGAGAGUCCGAGCAACAUAGAAUGUAGCUCCAUGUGAAAGCAGCCACUCAUAAUAGAGGAGUACAACAACAACAACAACAUACCCAGUGAAUUCCCAUUUCCCACCAAAUGGGGUCUGGGAAGGGUAAAAUGUACGUAGUCCAUACCACUAUCUCGGAAGAAGUAGAGAGGUUGUUUCCGAUAGACCCCCGGUUCAAGACACAGAGACAGUAAAUAAGGUCGUUAUAAAACAUGAAACAAGAAACAUGAAACAAGAUGAAAUAAUAGGAAUAAGGUACCCACUCAUAAUAGAGGAGUAAUGGUGAAUUAAUGCCAUAAAGCAGAUGGAUAAAAGGAAGUAAGUAUUUAAGAGAACUUCACCUAACAACAAAUUUGACCUCAUUAAACACAAAUGUAAACCUGGAAAAGAUGCUAUUAAUGAAAGUUUAUCCUGAAACACCAACUACUAAUCAACUUUUCAUCAGGAUCAUUAAUGUAAUUUGACCUGCAUAACUUAAGGAAGAACGUCAUUCACACAGUUUCAAAGAAAUCCGUAAACAGAAAGGCAAUGGUUGGUAAGAGGAAGAAUGGUAUUAGAUGUACUUAAUGAUCAAACAAAGAGUAAAAGGAGAGAAAAAUACAGAUUAAAGAAACUUCUUCGACGAGUAAAGUAUUAUAAAUAGCCUGUGCACACAUUACAUAUGUUAUAACCAGCAAGCAAAAAGUGUGAGAAAACAUCUUGCCACUGUCUAAAAUCAUCAAUCUCUUUUCCGAUCUGCUUUACCCAACCACAAACCUAUCAGCAAAGUUAGUAUUUUUCAUAAUCCCCUCAACAUGGUAUCAGUCAGCCUUCCAAUUCACGCGAACUGAAAAAACAAGAGCUCGGCUUUGAACAACUAGUACGCCAGGUUCUCGAUCCUCAAACCAUUCUAAGCUUAACGCGGCAAAAUAAUAUGAUGAUUGACCACUAAAAUUGGUGUAGCACAACUGUUAAGAAUUUAAAGUAUUGAUGGUCCUGCCGGAGUUGUAGCUGAAGAGCAUUUAUACAUGAAUAACCUCUGUCAAUCUGUUUUUGUGCAGUGUGCAUCUGUACCGUGUUGAGUGCAACGGUUGUAGCCCACACUGCGUAAAAAUUCCCGGAUUUCCUUGGUGCUGCUAUUGCUGGCUUGCAACAAUCGCUCAUCUUCCUCGUAGAUUAGGUAAGGUGCUUCACCUUUCUUUCUCGACAAUAUCUUUGAUGCUCCCUUAAGUACAUGAUACUCCCAGCCUUGAACAUCUAUUUUUAUUAGCAGAACACGUUCCGUUUCUUGAAUAACUUCAUCAAGGGGAAUAGUUUUUACUUGAACUUCAAUCUCUUCGUUUGACUUAAAAGCCAACUUGGCACCAGUGGCCGAGACUGCACUAUUAUCGAGCCUACCAACCAACUAAGAACAUAUCAUGAAAAACAAAAAAGAAACUAUCAGUAAGGUAGCUAACUAACAAACAACAUAAUAAAUAACGCUGAAAACGAGGCAGUACUCUCUUGUUUCUUUCCUUCUUUAAUUUUUUCCUUUUCAAAUGCUAAAAGUCCAAUAACAACAACAUACCCAGUGUAGUCCGACGAGUGGUUUUGGGGAGGGUAGUGUGUACGCAGGCUAUGCUAAAAGGUCAAAAGCAACAACAUGAUAAAGGACAAUACAAGCCAGGAAUAACUCUACUCAUGAUUUCAUAUAACCGAGUCAAUUCAGACCAGUUAAUCUAUGAAUUUUAUGGCAAAAGGUCAGUUCUUUAGCUAUGUUAUGUCACCGUUGCACGAAUUCUAUCUAGCAAUUAGUUGCACUAUCAAAUUUCACAUAAUAUAUCUAGACAUCAUAACAAGUACUUCGUCUGUUUCAAUCUGUUUGUCUUCCCUUUUUAGUCCGUCUCAUAAAGCAUCUCUUUUUCCAUUUUUGACAACUCUAUACUUCUUAUUUUCCACUUGACAUGUUUAAGACUACAAGAUUUGAUGACAUUUUAGUACAUUCGACAUAUCUUUGGUUUAGUUUAACACAAAAAGAUUCAAAAGUCAUUCUUUACAUUCUGAAACUCUUUUCCAAGUUAUAACCAGACAAUCAAAUUAAAACGGAGGGAGUAUAACAAACUAAAAAGCAAACUAUAUCAACCAAAAAUAACUUCUAAACACUAAUAUAUGAACCAAAUUAUACUGAAAAAAAUACCUUAUGAAAGGUAAUAUUCCCAUUAUGAUCUGAAACAGCAGCUUCAUAAACCUCAACUAACUCCCCAACUCUAUUAAAAUAAAUCCCUUCACAAAUCUUUUGCAAAUUCUCAAAAACAGGUUCAAAGGCCAAAACUUUAAACCCCAUAACAGCAGCAGCAAAACUAGCCAUUCCUACAUUAGCACCAACGUCAAUUACAAUUCCAUUUUUACCCUUCAUUUUUUCCAAGAAUUCUUGAAUUGUCACAGAUAUAUCAGGCCUUCUAAAGGGUUUUCCUUUAAGUAUUCUUUGAAUAUUCUUAUGAGGUUUUUCAGGCAAAUUACCAAAAUCUGAAAGUGAAAAAAGAAAAGGGUAUUUUACACCUUCAACUAUAUUAGCUAUAAUAGGAUAAGCUUGUUGUGAAUUGUAACAAUUAAAGGGUGUAAUUGGAACAUUAAAGAUUGUUUUUUCAAUGGAUUUUGUGUGGGGUUGCUGAGUUUGUGAUGUGAGGUAAAGGAAAAUGAGAAGGAGAAGUGAAGUGAAGAAGAAAAGGAGGAGAUUUUUGGGUGUUAAAAUCUUGAUUUGUUGAUUUCUUCUCCAUGAAUUUGCCAUUUUUCAAGAAAUUUUUUGUGUUGUGUGAAAUGUGUGAAAGAUUGGAUCUUGAAAUUGAAGUGUGAUUUUAGCAACUUUGAACACUAAUGAAGAGGAUUUUAGUGUUGUUUUUUGCUUUGUCACUUUGUUUUUUCACAUUUUAUAUUUAAAUUUAAACAUGAGAUAUUUGAUUAAAUAAACAAAUAAAUAUUCAGUACUUCCUUGAACAAAAUUAUUACAAUGCACUCCAAAUUCAUAAAGGUUCUGUUGCUCGUGAAUUCAAUUUUAGCAUAUUUUUAUGGGAUUCUUUGUUAAAUGAUAUUUUUAAUUCUUUCUUUUUAAUUAAAUAAACUAUAAUUUUUAUUUUUAUUUUAGGAAAAUGAUCACUAUUAUCUAUCUGAUCAAUAUGAUAGAUUGAUUAUCGAUCCGAUUUAUAUAUGAACAGAUUGAUUAUCGAUCCGACUUAUAUAUGCACAGAUCGACUAUCAAUCCGAUAGAUGAGAAAAUAAAAAUAGGUCAUUUUGCUAAUUGAAAACUUGAAUAUGAUGAAUAGCCAAAUUAUCUCAAUAGGCCAUUAUGCUAAUUGGAAGCUUGAAACAGGUUUAAUAGUCAAAUUUGCUCUAUUUUUAUCACCCUUUUGUGCUAACAUGACAUUUUUAUUUUAUAAAAUGGGAUCCACGUCAAAGAUAUCACGUCAGCUAAAAAGAUUAACAAAAGAUAUCCCGUCAGCAUAAAAAAAUGAUAAAAAUAUACUCAAAUUGAGUUCAUGAAUAAUAGAACCUCGUGAAGUUGGAUUAUAUCGUAUCAAAUUUUAUCAUAGUUUAAAGCCUAAGGGUACUAAAUAGUUUACUCUAAAAUAAAUAGUCUCACUAUUGAUAAUCAAUGUAGAGAAAGUUUAAAUAGGGUUCUUACAUUAGUUAGUUUUGUGGCAAAUAGCAUAGAUUUUAACAGUUAGGAAUUAAUUGCGGCAAAUUCUGAUAUUUUAUAUAAUCAUUGAAAAUCUUGAUUUUGAAUCUAUCGAGAUGGAUAAUUAAUUCUCGAUACAUAUAGUAAAGAUACAUUUUUUCUUUGUAAAGAUACAUAAUUAACUUUCGAUAUAUUUUUUUUUUUUCUGAUUUGGGGUAUGUGGAAAUACAUAACACAUCCAAUAAAGAUAUAUUUUUUCCUUAGCUCCCGAUAUAUUUUUUCAAUUUUAGAUCUGUUAAGAUACAUAUUAGCUUCCGAUACAACUAACGAAAAUACAUAAUUAAUUUGGAUUUUUGUAAUUAUGAUAAGUUAAGGGCAAAUUUCAGAAAUAGCAUACUUAUCCCCUUAAUUAUGCGUUUUAUAACAACAGUUUUAUAAUUACAUAAUAUAACAAAUUGUAUUUUGUAUUUUUGUAAACUGUUGCUACAAAAAUACAAAUACAUAUGAUUUUUACUGCUCUUAUGAUCGAUAUGUAUUUUGUAUUUUUGCAAACUGUUGCUACAAAAAUACAAAUACAUAUGCUACAAAAUGUAAUUUGAUAAAAGUGUUGCUAUUUUUCGUAAUUUAGUACCUAAGUAUGCUACUUUAUGUAUUUUUUCCAUAAGUUAAAGGUGUAUAUUUAUGUUUUUUUUGGGUACAAAAGGUAUAUGGUCCAAGGUCCAACAAAUAUGAAAAGUUGGGCUUUAGGCCCAAAUUGGUGUUAGCCCAUUAUCCAAAAAUUCUGAAACAUGUCAUGGAUUAGCCACGUACAGAUAAGUCCAAUAAGGGAAAGUGACUAUAUGAGUAUUAAUAUUAAUUUUUUUUUUUAUAUAAUUAUAGUAUCUGAUUAGUUUAUGUGCACUUCGACUAAUUUCAUAAAAUAUCUUUGAACUCCUACUAGCAAUAGUACGGCAACUCUAUCCACCAAAAUUUUGACUGAUGAGAAUAAAUCGCAUGUUGUUUUUCUAUUUAUGUUCAAAUUUAAAUAUGAGACGUUAUAAUUUUUAUCCUACUUUAUUGACCACUAAAUCGCUUGGUGAGUCAAAAUUGAUGAAAUUAAAAAGGGUAUAUAUAAAAGUAGUUUAAUAAAAUAAUUAUUAUGGGAAAGCUUUUUCGACCUUUGAAGCAACAAUUACUUGGCAAAUAAGUCCAAGCUAUGUAAAAAUUAAACCAAUAUUCUUAUUUGCCUCCACAAUAUCCAAUCACAAUCCUCCAUAGUAUAUAAUAAUGAACCAAUAAAAAGAAAUACAUAAAAGAAAGAAAAAAAAUAAAACCACAUUGACCUAUUAGUUAAGUUAAAUAGAUAAUCAAUAUUGACCUAUUUUAGAUCGUUUCAACGUAUGACAGAUCCAUAAUUUAGAUAUUGUAAAUUUAAAUCGAGUAAAUUUUAAAAUAUAUAUUUAUACCUAUAAUUGAUUUUCGAUAUAUAUCUUUAACUAUGAGAGUUAAAAACGUGUGGUAAAUGCAUGAAAAAUAAUAGACUUUAUAAUUUUAUUUUUUUGUUUAUUUUUGAGUGAGCAUUAUAAUCCUCAUUAAAUGUUUCGUUUUUUUUCUUCAACUUAUAAUAUAAACUAUAAAUAAAGUGUUGGCUUUGCAUGCUUGGAUUGGCAAAUUCUAAUCAUAAAUCAAACUUAAUUUGCACUCCAAUUCUGACAUAAAUAUUCUUAUCUUAAAUUGUUAUAAAAAUUUUCAACUUGUCAUGUUGCUUUCUUUUCAAUCUUUUCAUACAAUGGCAAAAAUUCCAUUUAUAUAUAUCACAUAUCCAUAAAGAUCAUGUCUUAAAAAAUUUGCCAUUGUAAGUUUUAUAUAUUGAAUAAUCUCCCCUUAUUUUCCAAUAAAGAAAAUAAAAUUAGCUACAAAUUUCAUCAUUUUCCUAUCGUUAAAUAUAAUUAGCAACAGAUUUUGUUGUUUAGCUAUAUAAUUUUUUCGUCGUUAAAUCCAUUUUUUUUAAGGAGUGUUUAUUCAAAAUAUAUCUAGACUUAAGCUUUUAGAAGUAUUUAAUGAAGUCUAUUAGACUAAAUAAGCUACCUAAUUACAAGAUUAUCUUCAUUAAUCAUUACUACAAUCUGUAGUAUGCAUUUUUUUCUUUUUCUCAAGAUCUAAUGUUAUGAUUUUUUUUUUUGGCAUGGCACAGAUAAUUAUCAGUUUCCAAUGUGUUCUUCUAACACUUCAUAUACUAUGGUAAGGAUUCUUGAAUAUUGAAGCUCAUUAUCAUCCUAUUUAUUUGAUUUUAUUUUUCGGCGUAGCUCAUAAAGUUGCUGUCACAGGUUUGAGCAAAACCGUUGAGGUCCGAACCAUCCCUAGAGCAGGGGUGGAGCUAUACGUAGGAUAGGGGUUCAUCCGAACCUCCUUCGACUAAAAAUUAUACUAUAUAUAUAUACAUGGUUAAAAUUAUUUUUUACGUAUAUAUGGUAAAUGUCGAACCCCCUUCGGUUAGCUCGUAUGUUCACUUGCGAACCCCUUUAGUGAAAAUCCUAGCUCCGCCACUGCCCUAGAGUCCUGCACCAUGCAUGCAUGUAGCAUGAACUUAGUGCACCGGGCUGUCAUUUCGCUCUCUUUUAUUAAAAAAACCAUUUACAAUUUAUAUGACAAUAAUAAUAUUGAUUUUUUAUUUUUUUUGUAGAAAACUUUGGUUCUCUUGUUCAUUUUAAUUGGCUUGACAGAUUCAAGAAUAUACAGUGCAAGUAUAUUUGGAAAUGCAGAAAGUUUUAAUGUCCUGGAUUAUGGAGCUGCUGCUGAUGGCAUUACAGAUGAUUCUCAAGUAAGUCUUGUUAUAUACUUUUGUUCCUUCAUUUUCUAACUAAUCUGUAUUCGCGCUGCAUAAGGCUUAAGCGCUCCUAGUUGGUUUCCGACCUGGUGUCUGGUAGUUGCAUUGGAGCUGCCAACUAAUAAUCUAGGUUUGGUCCAUAUGACGCCUAAUGGUCUCCCACCUAGUGUUUGGUGGUUGCAUUGGAGCCGCCAGCUAAUCUAGGUUCGCUCCAUAUUAAUCCUAUUAGAGGGAGAAGCACUCUUGGUUGGUAUCGGACCCAGUGUACGAUACCUACAGUGGGCCCCCGACUAAUCCAGGUUCGCACCAUAUAAGACAUUAGAUGGGGAAGCACACCUGGUUGGUUUGCCACCUAGUGUCUGGUAGUUGCAUUGGAGGCGCCAACUAAUCUAGGUUCGCUUCAUAUUCAUCCUAUAUAUUAGAGGGAGAAGCACUCUUGGUUGGUAUCUUACUCAUUGCCCGAUACCUACAUUGGGCUCCCGACUAAUCCAGGUUCGUACCAUAUAAGACCUAUUAGAUGGGGAAGCACUCCUUGUUCGUUUCCCACCUAGUGUCCGGUAUCUUCAUUAGCGCCUCAACUAAUCCGAAUGUGUAUGCAUAAGACCUAUUAGAGGGGAGGAGCACUCUUGGUUGGUAUCUCACCCAGUGUCCGGCACCUACAUUGGGGCCCCCGACUAAUCAAGGUUCGCACCAUAUAAGACCUAUUAGAUGGGGAAGCACACCAGGUUGGUUUCCCACCUAGUGUCCAGUAGCUGCAUUAGGGCCCCAAUAAAUCCGAAUUUGCACGCAUAAGGCCUAUUAGAGGGAAAAAUUGCUCCCCUCUAGGAUCUUUUUCCAUACGCAUGGCUCAAACCAGAGACCUCUAUGUAAGGGUCGAGUGGUCUUAUCCAUCCUACCGCAACUCGUCUUGCUUGUGUUACUUAAAUAUCAAGUAUAUUUUGUUAAAGGAAUUUUUUUUUUCAGGCAUUACUUAAUGCUUGGAAUGCUGCAUGUUCAUCAUCAGCUGGAUCUGCUGAAGUGGUUAUUCCUCCAAAUAUGAUAUUUUUUCUUAGCCCUGUGAUACUCAGAGGCCCCUGCAAUUCCGAAAACAUCUAUUUUGUGGUAAAAAAUCGUUAUAUAUUCAGUGUAUAUACGUAUAUAUCAUAUUUGGAAACGAUCAGCCUAAGUGAAGUGUGUGAAUUUCUAUGGCUCUUGUAGAUAUCAGGUACACUUGUUUCACCAGGCUCACCUAGUACAUGGACCGGGCAAGACUCGAGUCAGUGGUUGGCUUUCAGAAAUGUUACUGGUCUAAUCGUCGAUGGCUCAGGAACCAUUGAUGGUCAAGGACAAAGAUGGUGGGAUCAAUCAUGUCGAUACCACCCUGAAAUGGUAUGUCACACAUAAGCUAACUUAGGUUUUUUUCCAAUAACUGUAAUGUCUGGAUCAGCUCGUACGUACCAGCACAAAUACUGUUGUUUUGUGCACUAACAUUAUUUACUUUUCAGGACGGAUGCACAAGAUUAGCUCCAACUGUAAGUGCUUAUUGACAACAUUUGAUUUUGAAUUUAACUGUGUUUGGUUGGUGAAUGAAAAAUAUUUUCCGAAGGAAUAUGUAUUGUAGAUUAAUAAUGAUAUAUAUAUUAGUAUAUCGCUUCUUCAAAAAUGCCACCAGGUGUAUGUCGGCUCUUCCAAAAAAUGACUUCUGUCAUACCAAAAACCCAUAUUGCUCAGACUUUUCAAAUAUGUCAUCCUCAGGUGUGUGUCGGGUCUUCCAAAAAUAGUGCAUUUUUGGAGUAUCUGACACAAGUGCGACGAUAUUUUUUGUGAGAGUUCUGGCAACAUGGCUAAAAAACAGACACUAUAUAUGUUUGGAACUACGGGUAAGUUCCAAACAUGUUUGGAUCGGCUGUAUGAAUCCACAUUUCUUCACUUCUUACUAUAACAACAACAACUACGGCUUAGUCCCAAACAAGUUUGGAUCGGCUAUAUGAAUCCACAUUUCUUCACUUCUUACUAUAACAACAACAACAACUACGGCUUAGUCCCAAACAAGUUUGGAUCGUCUAUAUGAAUCCUGAUUUUGUCACUUAUUCCGCAGGCCUUGAAGUUCAUUUUUUGCACUCAGAGUUCAAUCAGUAACAUGUACUUUGCAAACAGUGCACAAACUCAUAUACUUAUAGAGAGAUGCAAUGGCUUUAAAGUGGACAAUGUAAUGAUUCAAUCUCCAGGAAAUAGUCCAAAUACUGAUGGCAUUCAUAUUCAAGCUUCUCAAUAUGUGGACAUAACAAAUUCUAAAAUUAGCAGUGGUAAUAUUAACUUGUCAAUUAUUUUUAAAAUUUCUUUUAUGUAGUAUACUUUAUUGUCAUAAUACAUAAACGUGCCCUUUAACUUAGCCUCAGCUUGCGUGUAUGCCCUCCAACUUUGGAUGUGCACAUGCAGACACUUAAAUGAAAUUGAACAGUAAGUAGACACACGUCCUAUGUGGCGUCCUACAUGGCAAUUUGCCUGAGAUGCCAUGUAGGACAGCACGUAGGAUACAUAUGUCUAUUUGUUCAACUUAAUGAUAGUUUAAGUGCCUACUCGUGCACGCGCAAAGUUGGAGGGCAUAAACGCAAGCUGAGGACAAGUUAAAGAGUACGUUUAUGUAUUAUUCCUACUUUAAUUAUUACUUAUAUUUGUGAUUAACAGGAGAUGAUUGUAUUUCAAUUGGAGAUUACUCUUCUAAUGUCCAAAUAUACAACAUUCAAUGUGGACCAGGUCAUGGUAUAAGGUUGUCUCUUCAACACUACAUUUUCUUUUUUUGUUUAACUAUCUUGUAUCCACAAUUCAUUUGCCUGACUAAUUCAGAUUCGUGCCUAGUAAGCCGACUAAGGGGGUUAAGAACUUUUCACCAAGAAGAUCUCUAUUCCGGGCUCGAAAUAGAGACCUCUGGUUAAGGGCGGAGGGAUCCAAACCUAUCCCACCAUACUCUUUGGUGGUGUUCUAAUCUUCUCUAAUAAUAAUAUAAUAGAUAAGCAUCUAGUCUCCCCUCGAACUAUGGCCAAAGUUGCUACGACCCACUCCAACUUCACAUGGGUCCUAUUACCCCUGAACUCAAUUUUAGCAUAUUUUUGUCACCCUUUUGUGCUGACGUGACAUUUUUAUUACAUAAAAUGGGGCCCGCAUCAAAGGUGCCCCAUCAUCAUAAAAGAAUGACAAAAUACGCUAAAAUUGAGUUCAGGGGGUAAUAGGAAGUUGGAGUGUGUCGUAGCAAAUUUGGUCAUAAUUCAGGAGGUACUAGAUGCUUUACUCAUAAUAUAAUAAGCUAUACUGUGAUGCAAAAGAUAAUAACAAUAAGGUGACAAAAGACUAUAUGAACUCUUAAGGUUUAAAUUGGCUUGAAUAAAAUAAGUGAUCUUUGGAAGUUAAAAAGGAACAAAAUCCACUUAUGGGCUAAACCUACAUUGCUCGGACUCUCUAAAAAUAUUGACGCACCGUAGCAGAUCUGAUACACAUGCGUCAGUAUUUUUGAAGAGUUCGAGCAACAUAGUACUCUUGAACUCCGAAUUGUGUCACAUAAAUUGCGAUAGAGGGAGUAGUGUGUUUUAACUUCCUAAUACUAAUGAAGUCUUUUUAUUCUACUUGUAUUCAGUAUUGGAAGCUUAGGAAAACAUGGUAAUUCUGCUCAAGUAGAGAACAUUCAUGUGAGCAAUGCUUUCUUCCAUGGAACUACGAACGGAGCUCGUAUCAAGACAUGGCAGGUAUAUAUAUCAAUGUUAUCUGUCGAAAAUUCUGAAUUCAGUUGACCACAUAUAGUAUAAAUGCUCCACCCACCAUUGGCUAUUAACUUCGCGUGGAUGUCAUGAUGUGAAUAGGUUGGCAGAGGAUAUGUACGCGAUGUCAUAUUUGAGAAUCUUGAAUUUAACUCCGUCAAGAAUCCCAUCAUAAUCGACCAGAAUUACUGUGAUGUUCGAGGGGCUUGCAAGGAAAUGGUAAUACAAGCUUACGCGGCUUGAUAUACAGUACAUAUUCAGCUAUAUAAUUGCUCGGAUUCUUCAAAAUAUAUUGAUGUAAAAUACCUCUUGAUACCUCAGACACAACUAGUGCAUUCUAAUAUCGUAGUCCGUGUCAGAUCCUCCAAAAUACUGCAUGAUUUGAGGAUCCGACAGGGGUGCAGCAACAUUUAGAAAAGUUCGAGUAAUAUAGAUAAGAGCUUACUCGAACCUGAUGUUUACCUCGUGAUACCUCAGACACAACUAGCGCACUCCAAUAUCGUAGUCCGUGUCAGAUCUUCCAAAAAUACUGCAUGAUUUGAUGAUCCGACAGGAGUGCAGCAACAUUUAGAAGAGUUCGAAUAAUAUAGAUAAGAGCUUACUCGCACCUGAUGUGUACCUCGUGAUACCUCAGACACAACUAGUGUAAUCCAAUAUCGUAGUCCGUGUCAGAUCCUCCAAAAAUACUGCAUGAUUUGAGGAUCCGACAGGGGUGCAGCAACAUUUGGAAGAGUUCGAGUGAUAUAGAUAAGAGCUUACUCACAUCUGAUGUUUACACUAAAUCAAUAAAUGUAUGACACGUAUCUUGUGCAGGUAACUGGAGUGCAAGUCAGCAAUGUUGUUUAUCAGAACAUAGUUGGAACAUCGAGCUCGGAUAUCGCGAUAAAUUUGAACUGCAGCAUUUCAGUGCCAUGUACUGAUAUAACAAUGCAGUUCAUACAACUAACACCAGCAACAUCAGGAAGGAAAGUUAAAGCUUAUUGUAGGAAUGCUAAUGGCCAAGAAUACGGAAUCGAACCCGGUCCUUGUCUCUCAUAAGUUUAGGAUUUUACUUUGGCAUAACACAUAAACGUGUCCUUUAAUUUAACGUAGGGCUAAAACCAACAAUUCUUUGUUGUGUGCAUAACCAGAAUGAACACAUUUGUAAGUGUUGUAGCAUACUAGUUAAUGUACUUUCAAUUUUCUUUUUCUUUGGCUUUGAUUUUAAGGUUUAAGUUGUGUACUGAUAAUUUUCUAUGUUGUACCAUAGUUGAUGUCGGUUAAGUUGUGUACUGAUAAUUUUCUAUGUUGUACCAUUGUUGAUGUUGGUAAAUUAAACACAUAAUACAUAAAUAGGACCUUUAACUUGACAUCAAAUUAUGAUUAUGACAUUUAACUUUACCAGUGCACAAGUAGGCCCUUUAACUAUACAAAAACUGAACAAAAAAAUACUUCAAUCCUACCUGUCAAAAUGCGUGUAUACACUCAAAUGGCAUCUGAAAACAGUACGAUGUACGCAAAUCUACCAACAAGUUCUUUUGAGACUUUUAUGGUGUAAUUUAAUCUCCCUUUGGGCCUAAUAACAUUAAAAUGUUUUUAAUUAUCAAAUUAAUUUUUUUUGUUCAAAUUUUGCGCGUUUUAAUAGGUAGAUUGUCAAUGAAGAACGUAAUACAUUUAUAUUUAUGAAAAACAUAGUGUGAUGAACUAGCAUCAGCAGUCUAUAACAGUAUCAAAUUGUUUAUCUAUAGUUUCCCUUUUCAUUACAGGUUAUUCUGAACAGAUAACGACCAACGAUCCUAAUUAUCAUCAUCUUCCGCAGCAUCAGCAUCUGAAUCUUUAUUAUCGUCAUCUUCUGCAGCAUCAGCAUCUGAAUCUUCAUUAUCAUCAUCAUCAUCGUUAUGAUGCGAUUGGACGAGUGACACUGUAUGAUGUGACUUGAAGAAAUGAGAAACAAGAGUGUAAGCUUGAUAAAAUUAAUACCAAAUGUUUCACUUCUUGAUAUUUCAAUUAUUUCGUAAAAGAAUUGGUUCCAAGUAAACCUCAUUUUACUAGAAUUUAUACAAUGGAUAGUUUAUCCAUUUUAUCCUUAGCAUCAAAUACGAUUCAUUAUCCACUUUGUUUUACAACAACAACAAUAUACCCAGUAUAAUCGCACAAAGUGGGGUCUGGGGAGGGUAAAGUGUACGCAGUGCAUACCACUACCUUAGAUGAAGUAGAGAAGUUGUUUCCUAUAGACCCUGGCUCAUGACAGAUAACAAUAUAAUCAAACAAACAAAGAAAAAACGUAAAAGCACACAACAAAAAUGGGAUACACACCUCUAGAUAAUAAAGAAAAUAAGACACCCAUAAGGUAAAAGUAUAAACUAUCUAUUUAAAAUCAAAGAUCACCGAAGCACCACGAACAAGCAAGAUACAAACAAAAACAUUAAAUUUGUUAGAUCCAAAUGGUAAUAUGAUAAAACUAUCCCUAUCGUUUACUAUUUCUUAACCUAUGUGUCAAGUAAAUAAUGGACAACUAUUGAUGGUCGGAGUGAGUAACAAUUAGACCAAAUGUGCUCACAUUUAGCAAGCUUAAACUAAAGUACCAAAACUGCUCAAAAAUUUUGUCAAAAUUAUUGUGAAAUAGUAUCGAGCAAACCUAAAUAAUUUUUGUGUAAAUGAGAAACAAAGUGUGACCUUGAUAAAUACUCUCUAUAUAUACUUACAUGGAUCAAUGAUACGAACAUCCACGGGGUUGUUUCCGAGGUCUUCCUGUUCUUGUUGAAUUCUUAUAGCAGAUUCUCCAAGUUCGGGAAGACAAAAGUCUACCUCAAUCAGUUGUAGCGAGUGAAUAUCUGCAAACUCAAUAGGUAUCUCUUUCAAAUGAUGGCAAUAGCUAAGCAGGAGGCGCUCAAGGACAGGAAAAUUGUCAUUUGUGGCUUUCCAGUACUUGAGAUGAUUACCUUCAAUUAGCAAAAGCUUCAAUCGAUUAAAUCCCAUAACCGUUGGACACCAUUCUUCGCCAUCACAAGCAUUAAACAUCAGCUUUAGCACCUCAAGGUUAGGCAACUCAGCUAUGAUGUCCAAGUACGACCAGCUUAGAUAAGUACUUUUUAACUUCAGCUUCUUGAGCGUGGCUGGAAAAGCUUUUGCACUUGGAAUGGUCACUGGUGAAAUGCUUAUACUUUCCAACGAAAAUAAUUUUAAACUCAAUGUUUCAAGUUUCUGCAGAUGGACAAGAUUGUUGAGAAGCCCAGACUCCUGAAUACUUUUAAAGUCAUCCACAUCGCCUCCGAUUCCUAGUUUUUUAACAUUCUGAAUCCCCAAAAUAACCUCCUUCGUGCAGCAACAUGGAGACAAGUAAGAAAUAGUUUGUAUAUUUGGAAAAUCCAAGCGUCUCCCUUUGUUAACAGAUCCAUUUGGGAGAUUUGGCAAAUAAAAUCUUUGCAGUUCGAGAUGCCUUAAUUGCGCUAGUCCCCAAAUUUGCUCCGGAAUAGUUGUAUGUAACAGAAAUUCUUGUAUAUGAGACCCUUCAAUAAUGAAUAUCUGCAGAUUCCAUAACCUGCAAAUUUCUAGAGGUAUGUCAAGUUUCCAACGGCCGAGCAAUGCUAGGUACCUCAACCAGAUGAGGCUUAGUAUCUGUACAGGGAAAACGUCAAUCUCUAUGUCACCCAAGUCCAAGAUUUUGAGUAAUUUGAAAUGAGUAAGAUCCGACUUGAGAAUAAAAGUUGAAGGAGAGCUACCAGCAAAGAAAAUAGAGCGAGUUCUUUUCAAAAGAUUGUUGUUGUUAUCAUCUGUCAACUGAUGAUGUCCAGGGAAAAGAAGGGCCCUAUAAAGUUCGUAGCGAGAAUCACUAAUUUCAUCAUCAGUCGAACGCUUAAAGGGCUUCAUUCUAAGGCUACUGAGAGAUUGGCAUUCUGAAGAAACAUGAUAUGCAUCUGAUUUUUCAAACACAAUUUCGUUCAUGAUAAAGACGUUUUCCCUUAGAACUUCUCUCAAGCACAGGUCAUGUAUUAGAUCAUGAACCUUACAUGAUCUAAUUUUCGUUCCAUCUCGAUUUUUCUUGCAGACGAGGACUAGACAUCUAUCGACAAGCUCUUGCAAACACUUCUCAGCCUCUCCUUCCAAGUCACUUUCCAAAUUCAGGAACCCUUCAGCCAUCCACAAUCUCAUCAAAUACUUCACUGGAAUCUCAGCGUCUUCUGGACAAAUUCCGAAAUACAGAAGACAUGCUUUUAGAUCGCUGGUUAAGUGAUUGAAACUCAACCCGAGAAUAUGUGAACAUUGUUCAUCAGGAUCAUUUGUGACAAAUGACGUGACAUCUUUGGAAACACUUUCCCAAUCUUCUAUUACCCUUUUAGAUUUGAGAAGCCCAGCAACCACGACAAUUGUUAGUGGUAACCCGUGACAUUCAUCUGCGAUUUGCUUCCCAAUAGUCUCAAACUCAGAUGGUACUGCUUCAUUUGAAAAAGCUGCACUUUUAAAAAGGUUCCAACUCUCAUCUUGAUCCAUGAAGUCUAUCUGCGUCGAAAGAUUCUCUGUACCAGCAUGACAAGCUACUUCAUUGCUACGGGUAGUCAACAAUAUUCGACUCCCUGCAUUGUUUUCACUUGGAAAGCAUAGUCUCACAUCAUCCCACACUUCACUACUCCACAUGUCGUCCAAUACAAUUAAAUAUCUCUUACCCUUUAAACUCUUUUGUAGCAUGUCUGCCAGCUCUGCCUCACUGCCCGUGCAAAAUUUGUCACCUUUUGUCGAAUGCAAAAGGCUCAGCAAAAUUUCCUUUACAUUGUGUUUUUGAGAUACAGUAGCCCAGGCACGAACAUCAAAAUGAUAGAUAAUUGACACAUGAUUGUAAACUUCUUUUGCUAAGGUUGUUUUACCUAUGCCUCCCAUCCCGACAAUCGGGAUGACUUUGAGUUCUCCAAAGUAGCUUCUUGUCAGAUCGUCUAACAAUUGUUCCCUUUGAUCAUCACGUCCAACCAUAUUGUUCUUAACAUUCAGAAUAUCGUUUGUUGAUUCCUUUGGUACUUGUUUGCCUUUGUCUUGAAUCUUUGCCGACUCUUUCCAGACACGAUCAAUGUCCCCUGCUACGUGUUGCAGGCUUUGGCGAAACCUUCGACGUGCCUUUUUUUUCUGGCUUUUAUUUUCUCCCAGUACAGUUUCAGCUAGUCUCAGUUGAAUUGUGUAUUCAACAUCAUUUGCAGCUUCUUUUACCUCUACUUCAAAAUCCGUCAUUUCCCCAAAAACAUUGUUUUUCUCAAAGUUCUUGAGAAAUACUUCCAGGGAACUAACUUUUUCAUGAAGAGCGCAAAAUUCUUCUCUGUGAUCACAGAUUAGUGAUUGCAUUGGUGAAUUGAAUGUCAAGAGAGAUUCUAUUGUUCUCGUAAGAGAAGCCACACUUGCAUGAGCCAUAGUUACUGUAUUCCCGUUUCUGUCCUUUGCGGUUAUGACCUGAAAGCUGCAGGGUUGCAAGAGGUCAAUGGUAUUACAAAUAACGAGAUACACAGAUUUGCAUAAACUAAAUAAGAUCAGGUAAUUUAUUUGUCAUAAUCAUAGCUAUCACAGGGUAACAGUGAGUUGAGUCCCAAAUCGGUGGGAUGAGAUAUGCCUAUGGUUCAGUUCUGUAUCACAGUGGAAUCUGAUUCACUUUUGAUCGCGUAAAUGAUCAAGAAGGGAAUUAGAACUUCAGCACAGAUAUAAGAAGACAUCGAGGAGGUACAAUAAAUGAGCAUGUAAAGCAAUAAUCAUCGUCACAGACUUUUUAACUUAAUGGUUCGCGGAAAUCCACUUAAAUCUUAAUCUGCAUUCACUGAUUCUGUUGAUUCCUUAGCUUUAGCUCAUGUAAUAUGUAAAACAAUUUAACUCGCAGUAAACAAAAAAUAUUAUGGUUCAGAACCCGUCGACUAAAAUCCUGGCUCCGCCUCUGCUUAGUUAGGUUCUAUAAAAAAGUUGUCACACUAGUGUCAGAUCCUCAUAAAAUGCACAACUCUUAAAAAAUCCAAUAUGUAAUCAACGUUAUUUUUGAAGAGUUCGAGCAAUAUAAAUAUAUAUAGUACAAAGAGCUAAAUUAUACAUUGAUAAGCAACUACAAGUGUUGUUUUGCUGUAAAACUCUAAUCAAAUGAAACUAACCUUGCAAUGGCAGAUCAUACAACUUCAAAGUCACUUCAAGAAAUAUUUGAGAAAAGAAUAGAAGAAAUGACAAUAUUAUGAGUAACAAUAAACAAAUGUGUAAAGAACAAAAGAUAACAUUUGAAUGGCUGAAAUGAUACCUUGCAAAAACUUUAGAGAUAAGCAUCCAAUACCCCCUCAAACCAUGACCAAAGUUGCUACGACACACUCCAAUUUCACAGGAGUCCUAUUACCUCCGAACUCAAUUUUAGCGUAUUUUUUGUCACCCUUUUAUGCUAACGUGGCACCUUUAUUACAUUAAUGGGGCUCACAUCAAAGGUGCCACUUCAGCUAAAAAGAUUGAUAAAAGGUGUCACGUCAUCUAAAAAGGUUGACAAAAAUACGUAAAAUUUUAGUUCAGGGGGUAAUAGGAUCUAGUCAUAGUUCAAGGGGGCAUUAGAUGCUUUACUCUUAACUUUAAAAGUAGGUUCACUUAGUUCCCUUUUAAUCUAAGUUGCUCGGACUCUUCAAAAAUAUCUAUGGGUGCGUGGCAGAUCCUCCAAAAAUAGUGUAUUUUUGAAGGAUCUGACACGAGCACAGUAACAUUUUUUGAGAGUCCGAGCAACUUAGCUUUAAUAAUGGUGAACACAAGUGGUCCUUUUAUCUAUGUAGAAAGGCUGCACUUUGGGUCCUAGUAAAAAAGAAGACACUUUUUCCCUUUGGGACUUCAUGUAAUCAAACACCAAAAACUAACUUCCUCAUAGAAUGAUUUUUUUACCAUAGUUCUUGCAGUUAACUUGACCUCGGCUAGCAUUUAUGUCCUUCAACUUUAGGUAUGCAUAAGUAGACACUUGUACAAAGUUGAAUAAAUAGACACACACGUCCGACCUAUGUGCAAUCAACAUGGCAAUAAACUCUGGUCAGAUCCUCUUAACAUGCAAAAUUUAAGUGAAAGAGCUGAAGUAGUCGCGAAUGCGUGUCCUAACCUGCGUCCUCCACAACCUUAUAUCUAAGGCCAUGUCCUCGGUAAGGUGAAAUUAUGUCAUGUACUGAUUGAUUUCAAUACAAUUAAGUUGUGACACCCUGAUUUCCUUGAGCCUGCCUUAGAGGGAACUUGAAGCAUAUCAUGUUAAAAUGGCCAUGUGGGCAUAUUGUUUUAAACAAGUUGGAAAGAUAAUUUGAUAAGCCAAUGAUUUUUUUCAUGUUUCAGAAUACGGUUAAAAAACAUGUUAACUAAUCAAUUAUGGUCGAUUGGAUCGGAUUUUUUUUCUUUUCUUUCUGUAGCAUCUCGACGUCACAUGAGCGUGAAGGGUGUUUAAGAAUCAAUCUUCAUUUUAGAGAUAAGCAUCUAGUACCCUGGAACUAUGGACAAAGUUGCUACGACACACUCCAACUUUACAGGGGUCCUAUUACCUUCCUGAACUUAAUUUUAACGUACUUUUGUCAUUAUAUAAAUUGGGGCCCACGUAAGCUAAAAAGGUUGACAAAAAUAGGAUAAAAUUUAGUUCCGGGAGGUAAUAUGGACUCCAUGUAGUUAGAGUGUGUCAUAGAAAAUUUGGUUAUAGUUCAUGGGGGGCGAGGGUGGGGGUGUACUAGAUGCUUUAAACACCACAUACAACAACAUAAAACGGUAGGACGUAUGCAGAUCUACCUUCGCCUUGUGAUGGUUUAAGUGUGUUUCUCACACUUUAGGUUUGUUUCUGAGUUUUAGUAUGAAACUAAAAAAAAAAAAGGGUAAUAAUUUCAGUGUGUUUUUGACACUUAAUACUUUUUGCAAAGCAAUAAGCAUCUAGUACCCCUCGAAUUAUAAUAGCCAAAGUUGCUACGACAAACUUCAAUUUCACAUUGGUCCUAUUACCUCUGAACUUAAUUUCAGUGAAUUUUUAUCACCUUUUUAUGCUGACAUGCCAUCUUUAUUACAUAAAAAGGAACUCAUGUCAGAAAUGUUACGCCAGCUAAAAAGGUGUCACACCAGUUAAAAUGGGUGACAAAAAUACAUUAAAAUUGAAUUUAGGGGAUAAUUGAAUCCUUCUAAAGUUGAAGUAUAUUAUAGCAAAUUUUAUUAUAAUUCAGGUGGGUAUCGGAUGCUUUACUCUUUUGCAAAUUAAAGAUAGUCUUGAUAAUUGAGUCAUAUUCACUUUAUGAGUCAAAAAGAUUUCCUUUUUCUUGAAAAAAACAGAAAGAAACUAUUUGGCUCCUAAGCUUAAGAUUUGUUUUG
rnacentral:lncRNA from 1 species